rnacentral:lncRNA from 1 species
UUUUUAUUAUUUAUUUUUUAAAAUCAAACAUCCCCAUUCUCUCUAUAUGUUCAAUUACAACACUCUUGAAAGACAACUCAAAACAUCCCAUAUAAAAUAUCACCAAACAAAUAGCAUUUGGAAAAGUGGUUUCCACUUUUCCCAAAUCCACUCCAAGACAACAAGCCUUAUUACAAACACCCACUUCAAAUUUUCCAAGUCUUCAACUACAUAUUUCUAUGAUUUUAUGGGGUUUUAAUGAGGGAAAAACCCUGAAAAAAUCAGCGGGUGACGAUUAGGGAACGGGAGCAGAUGGCGCAGAAGUACUUGGUCUUGGUUUUGCGGGAGACAGGGACACAACACACAUGUAAAUUGCAGUCAAGAUGCGUUGCAACAACAGGGCCUCCACAGCAAGGGCACACAGCCCCGGCUCCUUCUCUUUUGAUCACCUUUUCUCUCAUAUCAAACACUUGGAAUAUACUCAUGUUUCUCCUCCUGCUGCUACUGCUGCUUCUGCUUCUUUGUUUUUCCACCGCUUGGUUUCUGUCUUUUUCUGGGAUUUUCUUGGAUGGUGUUUGGGAUUGUUUCGGGGUUUCAUUUGGUGGGUUUGGCUCCCUUCCCUAUUUAUAGCUCUUUUAGAAGGCAGAAAAGUCGAGGUAAUUCAAUGCGAAUGCCUGCUGCUGUGUUUUUCUGAGAUGGCUCCUGGAAAUCGAGAGGAAAGGGGCGACUGUCAGAUGGGAAAAGGACAAGAUGAAUGUUGUUCAGUUGGAGAAAGUUGGAUUGGACCAGCAUGAAGCCCACUGGGCUUGUUAGGCUGGGCCCAACACUACGAACUUGACGCGGACAAGAUAGUUUUAUUGCGGUGCCGACUAACCUAAUUAAAAUACAUAGAUCUAUAAUUGAAGAUACUCUUUUUUUUUUUUUUAACUUCGAAUUUCUAAACUAUUGAUUUCCGUAAUUGAAAAUAAUCAAUUAGGUUUACGACAAAAACUUAGAAAUCGAUAGACCUCAAUAAAAUCUUAAAAAGAUUAACGAUAAGAAGUGAUGAGUUUAAUAGUUUUUUGUAUAAAAUUAUUGACUCUAGAAUAUAAUAAUAUGAAUAAGACAUGAUUAUGUUCGGCUUUUUUUUUUUUCCAAAAGAAAACAUAAGUUACUUAUGGUAAGAUAUUUAAAUAAUGUUUUACCAUUUUUAUCAAGAGAGCCUAGAAAUGAAAAAUAAUUUAAAAUAAAUUCUUUCCUUUUCUUUAUAAUAUUCAAAUAUAAUAAUUUUUUUCUUUUUUUUUUUGGUACUUUCUAACAUCAAACAUAUUAAGGAAAAUAACUUUCUUGUAUUUGGAUUUCAUUAAAAAAAUUAUUAUUUUUAUUUAGUUGCUUUUGAAAUGGUUAAGGAAACAAUUGAAUUUAAGUAGUCACAAAAUUAUUUCUAAAAUUAUAUACCUUAUAUUCACGUCAAAAUCAUCUUUUUUCUUUUCAGUGUUUAUAUUAAAAUAUCAAAUGAUUUUGCAUUGCAAUUAUUCACAUCAAAAAUAUAAAUUAAUACAUGUUUCUACUAAAAUCUCAUUUUAAAAUGAUAAUUUAUAUACGUAAAAUCAUUUUUCAAAAAAUACGAUAUGAGAAAUAUUGCAUUUUUAUAAACAUUUUAUAAAAUAUUCGUUUCUUAAGAUUAUGUUUGAUUCCUUGGAAAAUAGUAAGAAAAGAAAAAUGAAAUAUUAAAAAAAAUGAUUUUCUUACAUAUGUUUUUACUAUGAAAAAUUCGAAAGAAAAUUAUAUAUAAUUAAAAUUAUUAAAAAUUUUAUAUAUUUUUAAAUAAUUUAAUCAAUAUAUAAAAGAGUUAAAUUAGUAAAAAAAAAUUAAUACAUAAAAAUAAUUUAUUAAUUUUAGAUCUAUUUUUUAUUUUAUUUUAUUUUCUUCCCCUGUAUAUUUUUUUUUUUCAAAAUUUUCUGGAAUAUAACCUAAAAAUGAUAUUAAAAUAAAAAAAUCCUCCACUAUUCCCCUAAUCCGACAAGAUUGAAUGGAAUCAGAGGAAUACAACUACAAAGAUUUUCCAUGGAAUCCGAGGAAUUUUCCAUGGCCGGUCAAUUUUCAUUGCUGUUAAUUUACCUGGAAAUUUGACAGCCAUGAGAAUCCCGUCCGGAGAAAAUAACGUUGUGGGCACGUGUGAAACUUUUGCUUGUCCAAGGUGCCUUGGAAUUAGUCAAGGAAAAAGACAAAUUUCAUCCGCGCCAGGAUAUGAACUUCCUGGAAAUUUUCCCACUUCCAAUCAAAUCAGUUUCCGCGUUGACGGAAAGUGGGUCAAAUGCGUGUCAAUGAAUUUCAUUUGAAAAAUUCGUUCCAGAUCUCAAUCAUUAUUAUAUUUGAAUUGUAUAAAUGAUUUGAAUUGUUUUUUGAAAUUGGAAUUAAAAUAAAAUAAAAAAUAAAAAUUCAUGCUCAAAUCCCAAUCACCCUAAGAUGAGAUCUUGUGACCCGAAAGGAUAACAGAAUUAGGUUACGGAUGACUAAGUUAGCAUUUAGUAAAUCAACUUAAUAACUUAAAGUAAUUUAGUAAUUUAAUAAUUUAAUUUAAAUUAUUAAAUAAAUUAAAUAUAUUUGAUAAAAUAACUUAAUGAUAUAAUUUAAAAUUAAAAAUAAUUUUAAAUAAUAGAUAAAAACAAUUAAUUUAUUCUUAAGUCAAUAUAUUUAGAUUAUCCUUUUACUAUCAUUUACCCUACUUAUUUUUAUGAUCUUUUUUACUACUUCAUAACCUUUACUAUUACUCAAUCUCUUUUAGCAUAAUUAUAAUUUACGAAGAUAAACAUGUCAAUUUUAUUAUUUAUGAUAAGUUUUAAGUUAAUUUUAUUAAACAAGUCGAAUACUUAAAGUAAAAAUUAAGUAAUAAAUUUUAACUUAAUAAUUUAAAUAUAAUUUAACUUAAAAUUAACUUAAGUCAUUAAGUAAUAAAUAUUAAGUUUUACUAAACACCUCCUAAACUUAGAUUGAUCCGUAUUCUUGACUAGACCUUUGAGCUUUAAGUCAAUUGUAUGUGGGAUCUAAGGGGUUAUUUGGAGCUAAAAUAACCGUCAAAUUAUAAAAAUGACCUCUUCUUUUUAAUUAUAUUGAGAAAUAACCCAAAGUGAAAAUACUUUGGGUUAUUUUAUUAUUAUAAAUUUAACAAAAAAAAAAAAAAAAACACUUGUUAAUUAAAAUAUUUAUCUAGACUUUAAUGUUAGAUAUCAAGACUCCAUGAUCUCACCUUCACAUUUUAGAAGUUUAAAUGAAACCAAAACAAAAUCUAAACCAAAAAAAUUUACAAGAACAACCGCAAAACAACCCCAAGCAAAAUCCCACUACAAAAAGCCUUCAAAAUCCCUGUAGAAAACAUUUGCAAAAAAAAAAAACCCUAAUAAAAAAUAAUUGUAAAAAGUCCCAAGUAAAAAAUAUAUAUAUAAUAAAAAAUAAAAAAUAAAAACCCCCGACCAAAAUCCCAUUGCAAAUAAUCCCUCAACCGUAAUCUCGCUAAAAACCUUAACCAAAAACAAUAAAAAAAAAAAAAUAGCUGCAAAAAACCACAAAAACCUUAACCAAAAAUAAAGAGAAAGAUGAAGAAUUUUGAAGAAGAGAAAAAGAUGAGAAAGUUGUGGUUAAUGUUCAUUUGGUUGAUAUUGGUUAUGAUUCCCCUCCAAAAUUCAUUAGAAGAAGGGAGAGGGCAUGAAGAAAACGAGAGGCAAGUGCCAUUUUUAAGGAAAUAAAAAGGAUAAUAAUGUCCAAAAUAGUCAUUUCCUUAAAGAAAAAAUUAAGAGAAAUCAUUCUUCCAAUUUCAAUGUCUUUUCUCCAAAUAUCUCAAAUUUAAAAGAAAUAAUAUAUAAUUAAUUAAUUAUUUUACUUUAAAAUUUUAUUUAAUUGAUUAUUAAAAAUAUCAUAAUAAUCUUCAUAAUAAGUCUUUCUUUUCGUGGAUAUUUUCUAUUCAAAUUAAUUUUUUUAAUUAAUUUUUCUUUCAUGUGUAUUUUCUAUUCAAAUUUUCAAUAUUUCCGUAAAAUUCAACCAUUAGUAUUUUCACAAUUUAUGGUAUUUAAUCAUUAUUACCAUGAAAAUAAGAAAAUAAAAAAUGAGAAAUCUUUUCCUCAAACACAACCACUACAUAAUUCUAAUUAAAGAAAAAAAAAACAAGCAAACAAUUUAUUUACUCUAAAUAUCAAUAGUUAAAACUUAUGGUUAGAAAAGUCUCACUGUCCUCCUCAUGGUCGUAAAAAAAUUGGAAGGAAAAUAUGAAAAAUAAAAAAAGGAAAAUAGGAAAUAAAUUUAUUUUUUAAAUAAUUUAAAAACAUAUAAAUUUUUAACUAAUUUUAAUUAUAUUUAAUUUUUUUUAUUAUAUUUUCUAUAAUGAAAUAAAAAAAUAACACUAUAUUUAAUUCCUAAAAAAAUUGUGAGAAAAUUAAAUAAAAAAUAAAUUUAAAAUUAAUAAAUUAUUUUUAUAUGGUACUUCAAAUAUUUUCACUUCUUUUAACCCUUCAAAAUAAUGAUUAAAUAAUUUAAAAAUAUAUAAAUUUUAAUUAAUUUAAUUAUAUUUCAUUUUCUUUCGUAUUUUUCAUAAUAUAACCAAAUAUGAAAUUUUAUUUUAUUUUAUUUUUUAACAUUUCUUUUCUUAAUACUUUCGAAACUAAACAUAAUAUUAACAUUUUUUUCCUUUAUUAAUAUUUUCAGACAACCAAAUUCAGCAUAAAGCAAUUUCAAAAACUCAGCACAACCAACCAUCAAACGGACACAAGCAUCUCUCCUUAUAGGACCGACUGCAGAAUCUUCCUCUACUAAAUGGUUGGAAGAACCAACUGAGACAAUGAACGAAAAUUCAGUAGUAAGUAGACACAUACUAAUGGUUCCAUUGUUUUUCCCGGAAAAUUAGAUUAUAAUAUAGGAACUGAAAUUCAGUAGGUAAAGUAGAUGCAGACACAUGACCAAAAUAUUUGUCUUUUAUUUUGUGCUAUACUAACCUCCCUCUUUCCUCAGAAUCCCCAAGUUUUCCUAGAAGACUCAUGACCCCAAACAUAAUACCGAGAAAGAUACACAUACAGAACCAAAACCUAAUCCCCAAGUUUUCCAGGAAAAUUUGUUGACCCAAACAUGCUCCUCAGAAUCCCCAAGUUUCUCUAGAAAAUUCAUUGAUCCAAACAUACUGAGAAAGAUACAGAAGGAGCACAAAAACUUAAUCCCCAAGUUUUCUUACAAUCCACUCCAGUCUCUGUUUAUGUAACUGCUUGAUCACCAAGUAAAUCUUCAAAACUUCUCUGAUUUCCACAAUUCUACCAGAAUUUCUUGAAAACCCCUCUAUGAAUAUAGAAUGCAGAAGGAAUUGACUAGAGACAUUGUGGUUUAGUUGAUAUGCAAAAUAGCAUAGUUUAUUGGGAGCAGACAGGAAACUAUAUCAAACUCAGGAAAGCAUAUAUUGAUUGAAGGAUUUUGAGAUCUCAUUAUUAACAUUUCCUGAUACAAUCACAACAAACAUUUUUCAGAUAUAAGAUCAUAGUUGGGCUACUGGCAACACAGAGAAGCACCCGGUCUGUUAAAAUGUUUAGUAAUUCAUCAACUAUAUAAAGAAAAGAAUGGGCAUAAACAAUAGUGCUUACGCGUCAAAAAACUGUGGAUCAUGGAGAUGGUCCUGUCGGAUUGUGGGCCUCAAUAUCUACAUGCCGAAUGCCAGGAACAAGCUCCUGGAUCUCCUUUUCUAGCCUGUCAACUUCACUACCCAGAGCUGUAACCACUUCCUCACCUGCCAUGAGAACUCAAGUGAGUUAUUUUCAUGUUGUUGGUAGACUUCAGUGUAAAUGUUAUUUGUUAGUUUAUUAAAGUGCAUACCAUAGUUUGACAUCAUCCGCAGCAGUGCAGAAUCGUCCUCCUCCUUUGCAGCUUCCCGAAACUGAAUAUCAUUAAUCCUGUUGGUUAGAAACCCAUCCUACAGAGUCCAAACCACACAAACAAUGUCCCUAAUGAUUUUGUACAGGCAGGCCCAACCUGCUGGAGCAAGCCAUCAAGAUGGCCUCCAUUUUGAUCAAAACCCAACAAAAAAUGAGUUGUCCUCCGGAUGUGAUGAACAGAAAGGACCUUUUCAUUUAUUUAUCCUUUUUUUUAGAGCAAGGGAUUAGAACAAAAUUUGUACUUGCAGGGCACAUGCUUCCGAAGCAAUUCCCACAUAAUCCACAGUGAGACUAGAUUCUCUCAUGUAUUUGCAUGGAUAAUUGGUAAUAUAGAUUUCUAUUUAAGAAAUGGGUAAGAUAAAUAUGCAUUCACCCUUCUCAAUCUUAUCCCAACCCAAAUCCCAGAAGCAAAAUAAGAUAGAGAGUAACAGGUCCAUAUUGACUGGAUGACAUUUAUAUACAAGCUUAAAACAAUACAAUUUAGGAGACAUGUAACAUUCAUUUCAGAACAUCUAGGGAUCGCAGGGACUUCUAAUUGUUUGAAAUAUUGCAGAACUAAAAGCACCUACAUGUGUGUGAUGCCAUGUAACCUCAGUUUCCUGACCACCCUUUUCAAGGAAACACUUGUAUUUGUAAAAAACUGACAGCAUUCACCCAUGCAAGAAAAAACGGCCGACAGUACCAAAUUUACUGACUGUUAUAUGAAAAAGAAAUGUGGAAUGUCAAGUACCUUGACAAGGGUACUUACAUGUGACACAAUUGAAAAGCAGUUACAGCUUCCCCAAGAAAAUUUAUAAAAAUAAAAAUAACACCAGUUGGUAAAAACUAACCUGUCUGGCCCAUGUUUCACGUCCUGUCCUUUUCAGAUAAUUUUGCACCACCACCACGCCAUUGAAAUCUGUUGCAUACAACUUGCCACCAUCAACACACUGAGAUCCAAAUAGUGCUAAUUUAAAGUCUAAUUGAGAGUUUAUUCUUAAAUGGUUAGAAGCAUUUUCUAUUGCUUGAACAAUCAUCCAUAGCAAAAUUUGGUAUCAGACAAAGUUGCAGAAAUGACAUUUGAAAAUCUAGAGAAUCACUUCAACCGAUUCUACAAUUAACACAUGGUAGUUGUUUCUACUAAAUAUCUUUUUUUUGUUAUAUAACAUAUUCUCAAAAACAUUAUCAAAAGCAUUUUUGGUUUAUAUCUAAACACUAAUUUGAUUCUCUUUGGAAAACCAAUUGGCUGCUAGUGAGAUAAUGUUAAACCUCUUUCUAUAGUUUGAAUAAUACUAAUCAACCUCAAGUUAGCACAAUUCAGAAGCAAACACCAAAUUCUGAGCCAAUACCAUCUUAGGCUUGGUUCCUAGUCAACCACAAACAACAAGCCAACAUAACCUCAGCUUACUUAUUGAGCUAACACAAAAUCCUAAAGCCAAUACAAUCUUAGGUUUACUUCAUGAGCAGAACACCAAAUCUUGAGCCAAACAAUCUCAACCUUACUUCUUAGGUCAUUAUUUCCUCAGGAGCGGCAAUCUUGGCUCUAGCACCACUUGUUAAGACUAAUGCAUUGGUUUUUUACAUAUGAAAAACCGAUUCAUAGUCAUUAAGGUCAAGCUCAACCUCUUUAUAUGGUUUGAACCACACAACAUUAGCAUCAAGCUAACACAAUCUUGGUACCAACGCCAUUGGAAUCAUAUAAAAAACUUUAGCUUGAUCUCAUUGGUAGUUAAUUGGUCUUCGGCCAGUUUGAACCGCACAACAUUAGCAUCAAGCUAACACAAUUUUGAUACCAACACCUUUGGAAUCAUAUGAAAAAGCUUAGCUUGACCUCAAUGGUAGAUAAUUGAUCUGUGGCUAACACUGCUCGAAACAUAUGAAAAGGUUGAAUUGACAUCAUUUGUAGUCACUUGAUUUUCAGAUAAGGUGGCUAAUAUCUUGAUUCUAACAAUAAGAUGCAUAAUAGUGCAUGGUAAACCAAAGCACAAAAUGAAAAUAUAUCAUCAAUGAUGUAUGCAUAUGGGUGUGGAGAUGUUAGAUAUCCUCAUAGAGAUAUUGACCUAUAGAUAACCAAACCACAUAAAAAUCUGAAAAAUAAGUUACUGUGGCAAAGGUUACCUAUUUCUGCCUUAAACCUAAAGAACCCAGGUCCAAUCACCUCACUUUUACAAUCAUAUAGAGCAUCAACUACCUACAAAAAAAAUAAAUAAAUAGAGUCGUACCCGUCAAACUGGGACAAAUAUGUAUAACAGUAGCUAAUUGGGAUAGAGUUAUUCAGUGUAGAAAACAAUACCGGAUCAUUUUUCAACAAAUUAAGAACCUUUUCCAUAUCAUGAGCAUCAAUUGCUCUACCAAUCAAUGCAUGCCGAUUCCUCUGGAUGAGAAAUAUAGCUACCUGAAUAAAAAGUUCAACUCAAACACAUCACUUUAAACCAUGCUAAUAAGUCAUACGUUUUGUUCUUAUAGAACAUAAAUAACAUAUUCUCAUACUAAUUAACCUUGAUAGAUAUCUAUAGCUCUUUCAAUGUCUCCAAACACUUUGAACACUUCGUAGUUGUAAGUUUUACAAAUAGCCCUUUGAUUAAACCCUGAUCUGAACUUUCGCAGCCAUAUCAACAACUUCCCUCAUCAACUAGAAGUUGGGUCAUGCUACCGAUUCUCCAUCAAUAUACCACUUGUCUCUUUUUCUUUAGGUCUCUAUCCUCCAAAUGCCAGUGGCAAGUUUGUGUUAAGGUAAAACACAAUAAAAGCCAAUGGUACAUUUGGAAAAUGAUACGGCCAUACUUUUGUAAAGGAAUUGAUUACCUUUAGGGUAGUGUAUACAAUUGCAGGCAUUUGCAUCUAUUUCACUUGAUGGGAAUAUUUUAGUGCUAUAUAAAUUUUUAGGUAAGAAAAAAAUGGAAGGUAAAUACUACUUACCAUUCCAAGUAAAUUACCAACCACAAUUGAACCUAUUGGGUCAUAAAUUGGAUUUCCAGUCGUAUUUACAGCAACUAGUGAUGCUCCUGCAAUAAUAAGACCAGUAACUGCAGCACCAUCCUGCUUAUUUAAAGUCAUAUGUUAAGAGAAAGACAACAACAGAACAAGCAAUAAGAUAAAAUGAAUUGCUUAAAGAGCAGAAAACCACUAGCUUGCCAAACUAUAGUAAGCACCAAGCACCCGCAACAAUAAUAUGCAUAAUCAGCAUACAUAUAUUCACACAAUAAAGAAAAGGACAAAAAUUUGACAAAAAAAAAGAAGAAAAAUCGACUAGUCAAAAAGGAGAGUGCCUUGAACUUCUGAGAGUUUUCAAAAGCAGAAAAAGAGGCCAAACAGGUGAUCUUUUGUUCAGAAUCCUGAUGUUAAGAAAAGUUGCCAAAUUACAUGAGCACCACAAACUUCAUGAUAGCACAUUUUCCCAACUUAAGCUGGAAAUGGAUUCUAGAUAAUGAAGUUCCAUGCAUACAACAACUUUCUCAGCACUAGAAUUGUCUUCAAUGCUUCAAGCAUCCUCAAAGGUAACAUCUUGAUCUUGUACAAAUCCAUAGCACAAGAAUAUGAUAAGAGUACAUGAUAAAUGGGUCGAUCCUCAAAUGAUAAUGAGGUAUUGAAUGGUGUAGCUUCUAAUGGGGGUUAUCACAUAUUAGAGGCAGGAACUGGGAACGGAAAAGCAAUCAAUUUUGGGGAAGAUUCUUUUAUAUAAAUGUUAGGAGGAUUUACACAAAUCUUUACCACCAUGGAUAAGUAGGUGGAGUGUGAUGUUAUUUUGAUAUGCCACAAAGUUGACAGAAAUUUCCAAGAUUUGGAGUCAAAAAAGUAGCUCAAAUCCUUUUUCCUGUCCCUAGAUCAAUAUGUAACAUUGCUCCUUCCCCAAGGAGCUACAUUAGAACUUUUCAGUUUCAUCAAAAGUGGCUUUCAUCAGUUUAGUAACUCUUAGAAGAAACAGGUGGUGAUUGGUGGAUAUUUUCUUUACUCCAAAAUGCUAUGUGAGAUAACUCUGAAAUGUUGUGCUUUUUUAGUCUCAAUUGGAGGUGGGCAGUAGGCUAUUAUUUGCUCCUCAAACUGUUGGCUCUCCGUGACUACUUGGUUCACAUUUUAUUUAUGGAUUCAGGCUCUAUUGGGUUAUGCCCAACUAUAUAACAGGUUUUGCUAAUGGGUGUGGCCAUGCAACAUGAAAGAUAACCAUUUCUGCGGUUCUACAAUUGAUGUGGAAGAAAAGAAGUAAAAUAUUAUUAGUAGGAUGAAAGAGAAGCUAAGGAUUGAGCAUCUUGCAUUAUCAUUUGCGGAAGAACCCUAAUUAUUCAUCCUGUAAAGUUCCAAUGAUUCUACAUCCUAUGGUGUCAAGUCCCUUUUUCUGCAAACUAUAUUUAUAAUAUAAAAAAUUAUUAUUAGAAAGAAACAGUUUGUGCUCUUGAACUUGGAAAUCUGAGCAAGAAAGCUAUUACCUUGAUCUCUAGAAAAUUUUUCAUGUUACAUUCACCAUUAGAUACUUAUUAUAGCUUUCCCUGUACUACAAACCAUUUUUAGAAAUGAAAAAGAGAACUUGGAGUCUCACAAGCUUGUGAGCAAGGAGCAUACAUUCCAAAUCCAAGAUCAAAGCUUCACUUGGUAAGGAAUGUUGCAACCAGAUUUAAAUCCUAAUCCUAAGAAGCAUUUUUUUCUUUUUUCCUUUUCCACUGGAGAAAUAAGAGUUACAUAUUUAUGUUAGAAAAAAGGAUGUUAGCAAACAAGGGGAAGCAACUCUAGUACACAGAACUUAUAGAAGACUUAAUCUUAAAGUAAUGCUGUCAUUAUUUCCAACCAUUGAAAGUGAACAAGGCACAGGCAAUUACCUCUGUCAUGACUGCAACAGAUGUAGGAUCAUGACCACGCCAAACAUAAUCUCUCACCUUCAUUCCCUCUGCAGCUGCCCCUUUCUUGACAGCAUGUAUGGCUACUACAAGAGAAGCACCUAAAGAAAAGCCACUGUUAAGGGGAAAGAUGAAGAAAGAUAAACUAAAGAAACUCUUGAAACAACCCUAUAUCACAAAAUAAUUAUGCAAUGAGUUGUACCUUCAAUGAGGAAUGAACCACCAAUAACCAAAGCCGCAUACUGAAUAUUUGCAGGAGGCUGGAAAGGACAUGCUCACAAAUCAAUAAACCAUAUACCAAAGCAACUGGUAAGAAUCUGGAAGGAGAGAACCAGAGAAGUUCUAAGUUACAUGUGAAGUCCACAAAUUUUGUACUCCAUGAACAAUUGUAGCACCAGAACCAAGACAAAAUAUACCAACGGCAGAAAUCAGAGACCAAACGAAUCUUUCCUUCGAAUAGCCAUAACUGAAGAACACAAAAAUAAAAAUUUCAGAUUAUUCAUAUAGUCUAUGAACAAAAGAAACAAGUUGUAAGCCUCAAUAUGAAUAUCCUUCAUGCAUGUGCCUGUCUGUGAAUUUCCCAAUAGAAAAUGCACAGUUCACUGACUGGUGUAUGUAAUUAAGGGUUCAGGUUGUGUCAGACGAAUCCAUUCUUUUGCAUCCAGAGUGGCAAUGUGAUCAUAAUGAAUUCAUUCCAUGAUUCUGUUCUCAACUGAAACACCAUCCAAUUUGAACUAUCAAUUGAAUUCAAGUGCUUCAUAACCAGUCUAGUACUUGGAUCAAAUCAGGUGAUAACUAAUCCCAUUCUGAAUUCAUAGAAGAAAAGUGCACAGAAGUAUUCACUCCAAGGUGAAAAUCCAAGAUUUAUCCAAAUAAUUAUAAUUUUUCUAUUGAAGGUUUCUCAGACAAAAUGAUGAUGAUGAUGAUGAAAUUGCACAGAAGUAUUCAGUCCAAGGCAUAAGUCCAAGAUUUAUCUAAAUAAUAAUAAUUUUUCUAUUCAAGGUUGCUUAGACAAAAUGAUGAUGAAGAAACAUGUACAAGUACUUUAUAUCUAGAUCAUAGUUGUUAACUUGUAAAACAUAUCAUGUAUCAUUUUUCCAUUUUUCUAUAUUGAAUAUUUUAUCAUAUCGUAUAUAUAUAGUGAAAAAUAAAUAGAAUAAAUAUGUAUACAAGUGCAUAUAUAUUGUAAAUAUAAAGUAAAAAGUAAUAUACAACCAAUUUCAUGAAAGAUAGUAGGAUUUAAAGAAUUAAACUAUGUCAUACCAUAUGAAAACAUUGAAUGCUAGAGUUUUAAAAAGUUCAAUUUAACAAAAUAUAAGUUUAAUAUAAAAUUUCAUCACAAAAUCCAUAAAAACAAACUUCUUAGAUUUUUACAUUUAGGUUUUAGUUCCAAAUUCUACCAAGGCAUAAGUACUUAUAUGUGUUGUUGAUAUAAAUGUCUCUUUGUGCCAUCUCCAAAGUUCCAACUUUUCAUGUUCGUCAUUAUCUCUUCCUCGCCUAAAAAAAACCUAAUAAAUUAAGUAAAAAAUUUUUAUUCACUAAUCACCAUCAUUUUCAUUGUCAAUAUCAAAACCAUCGAAAUGGUCCGAUAUUCAUUAUAAGAACAAAUUUAUUUAACUUCCACUUUGGCCUUUGACAACAUGAAUAUAGCUUUCAUGUAGGAUUAUCUUUACUCUUUCUCUUUUUAUGAUCAAUUUCUAACCUUUUUGUAUAUAUUUCCUUUAACAAAAUACUUUUGCUAAAAAUUAUGAAAAAUAGCUAAAAGUGUAUAUAUCAUUUUAUCAAGCAUUGGAUGAUGUAUCGUAUAUGUAUCAUAAGAUACACUUAAAAUAAGAUACGGGUUGCUAAACGCCUCGUAUCAUAUAUCCUAAGUUUUUAACAACUAUGAUCUAGAUAAAGUUUGAUCCAUAUGCUGAAUGGUGAAGUCAAUGUAAAUAUAACAAAGACAAGAACAUCGAUGCCAAAGGUGACCUCUGAAAUGAAAUACUCACGGGUGGAUAGCAUCUGGAGCACGCCUUGAGCUACUCAGACCAUAUGCAAGAAGAGCCUACAUUGUGAAUAUGUAUUAGUUUCUCUGCAUUCAAUAACUACAAAAUCAACACAAAUGUAAACAAGAGUAAAAGAUAAGAAUGUCAGGAAGAUGAACAAUUAGACUAACAGGAGUACCUGAUUUGCAAAAUCUGCGGCUGAGUGCACAACUUCAGCCAACAUAACAUGGCUAGAGGUUGUUAACCAGACCCCAAACUUGAGAGAAAAGACGAGGAAGUUACACCAUAAUGCAGUUCUGACUGCUCGUUGGCUAGAAUAAACAUGUUAGGCAGAAACAAAAGAAAACAAAAAAGGUCAGAUGGUGAAAAGUGGGAGCUAAAUUUCUGGUCCCUAAUUGCAAAAAAGGCUCAAAAUUCUUGAUAGGUUUGGAUUCAGUGCAGUUCAUUAAUAUGCAGCUUGGAUUGACGUCAUCCACAAUCACUCCACAUCCUAAGAAAGUCACCCAUAAAAUCACACUAGAGGAGAGAAUCAAGAAACAAAGGAAUCAAAAGAAUGAAAAGCUUUCUCUUUCAUGACUGCUUGCAUCAACUAGUUAAUUUACUCUUUUCUUGUAUUAAAUCAAAGAUAAUGUUACAGAAGAUUAAGAAUUUCCAAAACCAUAAAUAUACACACUCCUAAAGGUUUUGUAGCCUAUUUCUGUGAACUGGGACAUUCCAACUAACCCCAUUUUCAUUUUCGGGUUGCUAUAAAAUAGUACCCCAAAAUAAAACAUUCCCAUAAAUCUUUCCUUACUUUCCCAAAACCAAAAUACAUGUACUCCGACUCUUAUUUGCAAGUCAACCACACAAAUGCUCACAUGAUCAAUCAACAAACCAACUUACAGCCCCAAAAAUGGCCAGAAAACAACUCAAUUUACCUGUCCUAUAGUAAGCCCUUAACAUGAACUGAAUAGUCCCAAAAAUGCAAUUCAAUUCAAUUCAAUUUGUUUAUCUUAUGGUAAACUAUUAACAUGAAUCAAAUAGGCCCCAGAAACUUAAUAUACUAUAGUAAGCCAUUAAUAUAGCUCAACUAGGACCCGAAAAUUCAAUUCAAUAUAAUUCCACAGUAAGCUAUAAAAUCCAAUCAUGAUUAGAACAAUAGCAAUAAGGAAACAAUGUAGGUCAAUAAAAGGAACCAAUGAAAACUAAUAAUAUCAAUAUCACCUGUGCUGAUCAUUGAUUUCAAUGUUCUUAACUUCCUUGGCUCUAGUAAAAAAAUCUGUAAAGAUCAAAGAAAGCCAACAUCAACCCACAAAAUGGAAAAAGAAUAAAAAUAAAACCACACCAUUCAUCCACCUUCAAAGAAAAAAAAAUACUCACUACGAUUGAUAUAAUGGCGAUUAGAAUCUAAAGAGGUCCCACAACUGCACAGAAAAUUCCGCAAUAUGGGCCUUGGAGCGAAAAAAAGGGCUCCAUUUUCUGGGAAUUUACAGUAAGAGCUGGGUUGUUGAAGGUUGUGGUUGAAGGAUGGAGAGGAAUGUAGGAAUUGGGAGAGAGUGAGGAGGCGAGAGAGGGGGAAAUGGGAGUAGUGGUGGCGCGUGAGGAGAGCUGGAGAUGGGCUAGGCGUGAAUCGAAGAAGGCAAGAGCCUAUCUUCUUGUUGAUGCUUCUCUGCAUGCUCCUUGCUACUCCACCUCCAUGGAAGCCCUCGUUUCAGAGAUUUCAGGGUUUUGAGCUUUUUGGUUUUGUGAGUUGGAAGGGUUUUUGGAGAAAUGGGAGGAGAGGGGUUUCUGGAAUUGGAACAUGCUUUCUGAUGUGUUUUUCCACUUUUGGGUAAAAAUAAAAAUAAUAAAAUAAAUAAAUUUAUUAUUAUUAUUAUUAUUAUAUUAUGACUCUAUAUGUUCAACUCAAAAUUUAUUUUAUGAUACAAUUUAUUUUAUAAAAUUGAAAAUAUUUAUAUUAUAGAUAAAAUAAAUAUUAUAUAAAAAAUUAUUUGAGAAAAAAGGUAAAAAAGAUGGUAUUUAUGUUGAGGAAAAACUUUCCCAAUUUUAAAUUUUAGGUUUUUUCAUAUAAUAAUUAUAGAAAAAUACUUCAUUAUCUAAAAUACUUCAAAGGUUGGCUUCUCUUGCUACUUAUGUUUUUAUUAUUUAAACAAUGAUUUUUCUUCAAAAAAAAAAAAAAAAACCUACUCUUAAACAUUAUUUUAAACAAUAAAUAUUGUAUAUAAAUAAAAUAAAUAUUGCACAAAAAAUAUAAUAUAUAAGAAUAUUAUAGUUAAAAAUAACUAUAGUACUUUUUUUUUUUGGAUAAAUAUGUAUACAACAUAUUCAUUAUACUAAUUGUAUUUUUAUCAUAAUAUUAUAAAUCAAUACCAAUUUUAACUUAGUUUUAUGUUGUUUGGUUGUGAAUGAGAAAUUUGCCGGAAAGAAAAUUAAAUUUAUUAGGCAUGACCUAAAAGCAAAGAAUAAAAUCCAUUUUAUCCCCUCAACCUUUUGUGUCUCUUACACUUUGUCUCACAUUCAAAAUCCAACGCACUUCAAACUUCUUAAUGGGUAGCACUCAACUUUUUUUUUGGAUAAUUUUUAUUUUCAUUAAAUGGAUGUGCUCCACACGUGAUGUGAUAAGAGGGUAAAAAUGUCAUUUAAAAGAUAUCCAUGGCCCUAAAAUCUAUUCCUUCAUUUUUCUUUUUCUGAAACCUUGAAAUCCUCAAGUCUAAAAAAACACACCUCCUUUAAUCGAUCUUCCUAUUAUGCUGAGACAAUGAGUCUAGCACAUUAUAUGUUGGCAAUUUUGUUUCAAUAUAUUUUGGCUCAUGAAAGUUUUUAAAUAGUGACUUACUCAUCAUUGAAGAUUCAAGGUUGUUGUUGGUUAAACCAUAAAGUUACAGGUAAGUUUAAAAAUGUUUAUUUAGUGGCAAGUUAAAUGAUUAAAGGGUUAAAGUGGAUCAAUAUUUUUUUCAUAAGCUAAAAAUACUUGAAUUAAUGUUUUGGAAAAAACAAGAGACACUUGAGCGGUGGAACCAACACUCAAGUGCUUAUCUAACACUCAAGCUCACAAGGCGUUCGAGCGAUGAUUAAGUGCAUUCAAGUGGUUGUCCCAAAUCUGCUAGAAUAUGGUAGAUUUCUUUUUGAAAUUUUAUAAGUAUUAUUUUUUGGAAAUUCUAUAUAUCGAUCCCUUAGGCCUAUAGGCCUAUAUAAACCCUCUAUUAACCCCUUUUAGGGUUAGACACCUUGAAAGAGUUGACCAACUUAACCUAUCAUUCCUAAUCUCUCAAGAAAAAAUUCAUAAUAUUGAAUUUCGGGUUGUUGGAAGAACUUGCAUCCCCUAAGAGGUUGAGAAGAAUCUACUAAAGCAUUAGAGGUGUUAUGUCGCGGAUGUGGAUCAAGGUAUAGGUGCUAGAGAAUAAGUUUUUAAGGUAAAAUGGUCAAGUAAAUCUGUGUACUUUGACCUGAAAUAGUGGAUUGUAUAUUAAAGGUCUUAGACCUCAUGGUUUUUAUUUCCACAGUUAGUGUUAGGUUUUUCCACAUAAAAAAUUAUUAUGUCUCUUGUUUGAUAUUUGAUUACUUUGAUUAUCCCUAAUAUCUUCAAGUUUUAUUUUGGGAUAAUUUUUCAUCACUUAUAUUGUAUUAUUUAAAAACACCUAUUCCCUCAUCUCCUCUCUCAGGUGUUAUCCUAAUAGACAAAAGGUUUUUUCAAUUGGUAUUAGAGCAAGCUUUUCUAAAUAAAAAUCAUAUUUUUAUUGAUCUUGCAAGUCCAAUAUGGAACAAUCAAGGUCUGAAGCUCCCCUAAAUAGUCCACCCUAUUUCGAUGGGAGUAAUUAUCCCAACUAAAAGGCCCAAAUGAUUUUUUGAAAAUGCAAGGAGAAAAGGUCUACAAUGCAACGAAAUAUGGAUGAAGACUUCAUUGAAACUAUAUGUGAAUGGGAAAUCUACUGAUGAAUUAAAACCCAAAAAAGAAUGGCAUAAAUUAGAUAAUGAAGAAAGUGAUGCCAAUGCUCGGGUUCUCUUUAGCAUAUUCAAUAGGGUAAGUCCUAAUGAGUUUUGCAAGAUAGCCACUUGUAAAGAUGCUAAAAAAGCCUAGGACAUUCUCCAGGUUACUCAUGAAGGCACUUUAGUUGUGAGGUUGGCUAAAUUGCAAAUGUUAACCUUCAGGUUUGAAAGCAUUAAAACGCAAGAGAAUAAAACUUUCUUUGCAUUCUAUGCUGAAUUAAGUGACAUUUUGAACUUCUUUUUUUAACUUAAGAGAACAAAUCCCUGACUUUAAAGUAAGUAGAAAAAUCUUGAGAUCUCUUCUUGAAAGGUUUAAACCUAAGGUCAUCACAAUAGAGGAAAACAAGGAUAUUUACUCCAUGAGGGUUGAUGACCUUGUUGGUUUUUUUCAAAUCUAUGAAAUGACCUUUCUAAACUCUCACAAGCCUAAAGAGUCUACUUUUAAGGAUAAUGAAAUUGAAGAAAAAGAGUUUGAAAAUCAUAAUGAGAUAACUAGGGAUGAACUAGCGUUCAAGGCUAAAUGAUUACUACUCAAAAAGUGCUAUUUCAUAGCUUGUAAUUAACUCUUUUAAACACUUUUAAGUAGUAGUUAUUAUCUUUUAACCCAAUUAACAUAUUAAGGACCCUUGCAAUCAAUUCUAAUCAAAUUGUGUUAAGUUUUGGUGUUUUGAUAACUUUUUGAUCACCAAAGCAAUCCGAGAUUGAGGAGAGUUCUUUGGAAUCCAUAAGUAAAUCCAGAAUACAAGGAGUAUGGGAUCCUGCUCAUUCCACCCGGACGAGAAUCAUAGCUCAUUCCACCCGGGUAGGAAUUCCAUCCGGCUGCCGCUAUUACAUCCGGCUGCUGCCACUUUCCACCCCGGAUGUAUCACAUCCGAAAUUCUGCUGCCGCCGCCAUUCCACCCGGAUGUAUCACAUCCGGAAUUCUGCUGCGUCGUCAUUCCACCUGAAUGUUUCACAUCCGGAAUUUUGAUGCCGGAUGGGAGAGGAGAGCGUUUCAACUUCCCCGGUCACACAUAUCUGGAUCAUCUGAUAGCGCUUACCCGGAGAGUUUCGCAGAUAUUUUGCACAGUGUCGCGGUGUUCUCUUGAAGCUUCCAGAUAUUUGCGACUGACAUUUGAAGAUAUUUUGCUUUAGAUAUUUGAUGUCGAAAUCCCCAAACUCUCCUUGUAACCCACCAAUUAUAGGAUUCCUUAGUUAUUAAGUUUGGAAAAAUGGUGAAUAACCCCUUAUAUAUAGCUUUGUAAUUUCCUUUACAGAGAGAGAUCGAUCAUAUAUCGAUCAUAGAUGUAAUCUGGGAGCUUGUUCUUAGAGACGCAUCCUUUGUACAGUUUUGUAAGGAAGUAAAAUACAAAGCACUUGCUCUGCUUUUCAUAUUUUUGUUUUCUUGUUAUUUUACUUUCUAGCCAAUCAAACUCUGAAGAUUUUUCCUCAGAGGAUGAGAGGCUAGGCUCUUCGUCUCUUGGAGUGAAGAAAGCUGGGUAAAUUUCCACAUGCAUAAAUUGGAAGUUUUGUUGUUUUAGUUUUUAAUGAAGAGAAAGUGUGACCCGUUAAUGGUUUUUAUCUUUUUAGUUAACUUAAAACGCCUUUAAUUCACCUGGGCCAACACUUGAUAAGGCAAGUGGUCUCCAUCCAUUGAGAUACACUAGUUUAUCUCUUGCGAGCCUUUGGGAGGUGGUUUGAAGGUAGGAUUUUCUAGAAUAACCAACACUUGGUAAGCUUUUGGACUCUAAGGAGACAUCCAUUAGUUAUCUCUUGCGAGCUUUUGACGGAUAAUCCAAGGUUAAAGAUCACCUUGAAUGGCAAGUGCUAGGUGAGAGGUAUGAGCCAUUGCAAGAUGCAUCAGUGAGAUGGAUUUAGUGUUUGAACCCAUUAAAGGGAAGCAUCUGUACCACACCGGUUCGGGAAAUAACUAUAUGUUAAAUCCCCAAUGCGAGGAAAAUAAACAAGUGACCGGAACUCUCCUUUUUGUACAAGGAAUCUGAGCCCAGUGAUCUAAACUCCAAGAAAUACUUUUCUUUGUAAGUAAAAUCAGUUACUAUUUUUGGUUAGUUUAAAACCAAACCUUUUCCGCCAAAGAUUAUGUUUUCUUUUAAAGCUAACCUUGAAAUGAAAAGACACCAAUUCAGCUUUGAAUUAAUAUCAAUUGUGAAGUGAAAACCCAUCCCAGUGAACGAUCCUAGAGCCACUAUGCUAUAGUAGCUUUGUCUUUGCUACCCUAGUUCAUGGUGUAAUAAGUUAUAAAUUUUGUUGAUUACUCCCGCAAUCAAGGAGCACCAGCUGGACAUGAAUCAGUUGAGACACCAAGUGGGCACGAAUCAAAUGGCGCUGUUGCCGGGAACGAAUCAAAUGGCGUCGUUGUCGAGCCUUGUGAUUAGAAUUGGGAACGAAUCACUAAACGUAUUAAAUGGGUUUGAAACUUAACAAUAGACCUAAUAAGAACAAGGACUUGGGAAAGGAAAAAAGAUUUGGUAGGUCUUCUAAAGAAAAAGAUAAGGAAAUUGCAAAAGAGAAAAAAGGUAAAGUGUUUUAAUUAUGGAGGUUUGGAACAUUUUUCUAUUGACUAUGUCCUAGUCUCAAUGACAUUAAAAAAAAUUGUGCAAGCUACAUGGAGCGACACUUACUUUGGUGAGAGUGACUCUAUGACUUUUGAAGAUGCAAGGUAUGAGCAAAAUGAUUAUUUAAAUUUUAUUGCAUCUGUUGAUUCUAAGCAUGAUACUAAUAGUCAUGAGAGUGAGUAUACUAAUGAAUAGAAUGCUAGUUUUCUUAGAAAUAUUUCCAUUGAAUAUCAAAAACUGAUUGAACAAUAUUUGAAGACUCAUAAUAUUCUUAACUCAUAAAAAGCUAAAAUUGAAUAUUUUUAGUGAAAAAAGACUAAUUAUCUUGCGAAAAUUUGAUUCAUUGAGUUUGAAUAUCAUUCUCUUCUUGAGAAAAACAAUAUUCUAACUUAAAAAAUUGAGACUAAAAAACCAUCAAUAAGGCUUUUCACCUUGGGACUAGUGUUGGAUGAAAUUCUUGAGAAAUGCAAGUCCCAAGGAGAUAAGAAAGGCCUCGACUAUAUUAGCAAAACCAAGACUUCCACAAGUGGAGGCAUAGUAUUAGUUAAAAGUAAGGAGGAAACUCCUAACCAAGAAACAUCUUCUAGCACUCUCUCACUAUUCACACACUGUAAGAAGUCUGAAUAUACUCAAAGUAGGUGUCACACUAGAUUUCUUGAAAGCUAUGAGUCUCAAUUGAAUAGGCUUGUGAAUGAGUUUAAAUCUCUAAAGAAUAAUAUUUUGAACACUAUGAGAGGGAAGAAAACCAAUACAGAGCUUAAGACUCAACAAAGCUCCUCCGAGUCACCACCUAAAACAAGUGUGGAUGAGAAAAGAUAGGCUUAAGUGUUAGAUUGUUUUCACAACCCUUAGAGCUAAAGCCCUUAGUGAAGCUCUAGGCAUAUGACAGGUGAUAAGUCUUUCGUCACCUUUCUUGAGGAUUUUAAUGGAGGAAAAAUCACCUUUAGGGAUGGUAGUGUAGCCCAUGUGAAAGGUAAAAGUAGUAUCUCUAUCCCCAUAUGCCUAGAUUUAGAUGGAGUCCUUUAUGCUAAUGAACUUAAGGGUAAUCUUCUUAGCAUUAGCCAAAUUUAUUACAGUGACUAUAGGGUAAACUUCUUUUAAAGUUGUGCGAAGUGAUAAACAAGGAAGGAGAAGUCAUUUUCAUUAUGCUUAGAACAGUGGAUAAUUGCUAUGCAAUAAAUUCUAGUUCUAAAACCUCUUUGGUUUGUAGUAGGGCUAAGCUUGAUAUCAUUGAGUCAUGGCAUAGGAGGCUAGAUCACAUAAACUAUAGACAUUUGGUCCACAUAACUAACAAAGACCCAGUUAGAGGUAUCCCUAAGUUGAGUAGUCAACCUAAAUCUAUUUGUGGAGAGUGCCUAAAAGGUAAACAAGUAAGAAACUCACUAAAAAAUAUUCAAGGGAAUAACACUUCUAGGCAUUUAAGCCUUCUUCACAUGGAUCUCAUGGACCCUAUAUGAAAAUGGAGAGUAAAGGAUGUCGUUGAUUUUUCCAGGUAUUCCUUUGUAAGUUUUCUAAAGGACAAAUCUGAAACAUUGAGCACUUGAAGUCCUUGUGCACUAGAAUUCAGGUGGAAAUAGGUAAUCCUAUUGUUAGGAUUAGGAGUGAUAGUGGGAGAGAGUUUGACAAUGUAGAAGUUGAUCUCUUUUAUGAAUUAAAGGAGAUUAAACAUAAUAUUUUGCCUUUAGAACUCCUCAACAAAAUGGAGUGGUAGAAAGGAAGAACCGUGUUCUUUAAGAAAUGACCUGAGUAAUGAUUAACAUGCAUGAUACUUCUAUGCUGUUUUGGACUGAAAUAAUUAACAUGACUUGCUAUACUGCCAAUAGGGUUUUCCUUAGGCAUGGAACAAAGAAAACAUCCUAUAAAUUGUGGAUUGGAACAAAGAAAACAUCAUAUGAAUUAUGGAUUGGCAGUGAGUGCUAUAUUCUCAAGGAUAGAGAAAACCUAGAUAAAUUUAAUUCUAAGUCUAAUUUGGGUAUUUUCCUAUGUUAUUCCAAUAAAAGUAAAACUUAUAACGUUUAUAAUCAGAAUACUAAAGUUAUCCAAGAAUCUUCAAAUGUAGUCAUCAAUGAUUUUGGAUAUGAUUAGGAAGUCAUUGACUUUGAAAGUUUAACCUAAAAAUCAAUUGGGAAUAACCUUGAAAAAGUUGACUUAGAUGAUAGUCUUAAAAGUAUCCUAAAGAGGUAAUUGACCCCAACAGGAAUGAAAAACCACUUGAAAUUGCUAAGUUGGGCAAAGUGGAAAGUAAACAUAAAUCCAGAGUACCCAAAAAUUAUCUUAUCUCAAAUGUAAUAGGAAACAUGGAUGAUUCCAUGGUUACAAGGAGACAAUCUAGACAAAAUGAGAUAGAUUUUUUUUUUUUUUGUUAUACCACCUAAUUAGACCUAAAGAAUGUAGAGGAAGCCUUAGGAGAUAAAUCAUGGACUACUACACUAUAGGAAGAAUUAAAUCAAUUUGUUAGGAAGAAUGUGUGGUACUUAGUUCCUAGGCUUAAAGACAAACCUGUAAUAGGCACAAAAUGGAUAUUUAAGAAUAAACAAGAUGAAAAUGGGUUCAUUGUGAAGAACAAAGCUAGGCUUGUAGUCCAAGGAUAUUCCCAAAUUGAGGGGAUUGAUUUUGAGGAAACUUUUGCACCUUUAACUAGGUUAGAAUCUAUUAAAAUCCUCCUAGAUAUUGCAUGCUCAUUGAGAAUGAAGCUUUUUCAAAUGGAUGUUAAAAGUGUCUUCCUAAAUAAGAUUCUUAGUGAAGAAAUCUAUGUUGAACAACCUAAGGGAUUUGCAGGUCCUAAACUUCCCAAUCAUGUUUAUAGGUUAAAGAAAACCCUUUUUGGAUUAAAACAAGAUCCUAGAGCUUGGUAUGAGAGGCUUACAACUUAACUUUUGGAAAAAGGGUUUGGGAGAAUGAGAGUUGAUAGAACUUUUUUUCAUUUAUAGGUCUAAGUCUAAAUUAUUAGUGGCUCAAAUUUAUGUUGAUGGUGUAGUUUUUAGAGUCACCCUUACCCUUAACUUUGUUGUGGAUAUGAAAAAAGAGUUCGAAAUGAAUUUGGUAGGUGAACUCAAUUUCUUUCAAGGACUACAGAUUAGACAACUCAAAGAUGAUAUCUUUCUAUCUUAGUCUAAAUAUGAUAGGGAUUUAGUAAAGAAAUUUGGACUUGAGUCCACUAAACACUUUAGGAUACCCAUGAGCACCACUACUAAGCUUUGUAAGAACACAUUUGGGAAGGAUGUUGAGAAAAAGCUUUAUAGGAGUAUGAUAGGAAGUUUGUUAUAUCUUACUGCAAGUUGUCAGGACAUCUCCUUUAGUGUGGGAGUUUGUGCUAGGUACUAAGAAAAUUCCAAAGAGUCACACUUAACUUUUGUCAAAAGAAUCAUUCAUUACAUUAGUGGGACCUUAGAUUAUGGGUUAUGAUGUCCUUAUGAUUCCUCUUGUGUUAUUAUUGGAUAUUUCGAUAUUGAUUGGGUCGAAAAUGUAGAGGAUAGAAAAAGCACUUUUGGGGCUUACUUCAUUAUUGGGGAUUGUUUAGUCUCUUGGCUAAGUAGAAACAAAAUUUAAUUUCUUUGUCCACUGCACAAACGAAAUAUAUGGUCAUAGGAAAUUAUUGUACCUAACUCCUUUGGAUGAAACAGAUGCUCAGUGAGUAUGACAUUGAGUAGGGUACUAUGAGUCUCCAUUGUGACAAUCUAGUGCUAUUAACAUUUCAAAAAUUUUUGUUCUUCAUUCUUGAACUAAAAAUAUAGACAUAUGUCAUCAUUCUAUUAAGGAUUUAGUUGAAGAUAAAGUCAUUUCUCUAGAGUUUGUCUCAAUGAAACAUCAAUUGGCAGAUAUUUUCACUAAAUGCUUGGAUUCUCUUAGGUUUGAAUUCCUUAAGAAGUCCUUGGGUAUAUGACUAAUUGACUAAAAGUCAAAAGGGUAUAAACCUAAGGAUUUGUGUUUUUUAUCUAUCUUCUUUCCUUUAGUCAAUCCCAUCUUCCUCUUAUAGCACUGGUCUUAUACCCUUUUUCAUUUGCCUUAUUAGUAAGAAUUUCAAUCUCUCAAGUUUUAAGUCUGAGUGAAAUAUGAUAAACCUACAAUGGUUGAUUUUAUUUUCCCUAGAAUUUUUUUAAUUACUUUUGAGGUAAAGAAUCAAGGUAUAUAAAAAUCUUUGUAUAGUGGGAUAUCUAAAAAGAAAUAAUUGGCAAGUGAUCCAUGAGGAAUCUUCUUAAGUUUAACUAAUAAAAUAGAAUUUGUUUUUUUCUUUUGAAGUAAUAUCAUGCCUAAUUCUUUUUCAUUCACUUGCCUUGUUUGUCUAAGUUCUAUAUUAUUUUUUCCCAAAGCGUUUUAAGGCAUUCUUGGAUUCUUAGUUAAAAUAAACUAAAAUAUUAUUUCCAAGAUUCUUUCCAAGUUUAUAUACUUUCACUUGCAACAUUUGGAAACACCCUUCUAAGUGGAAUAAGACAACCAUAGUGAAAGUAUGAUUUCCAUAAAUGGUGUACAAUGCCUCCAUUUCUCGGAAAAAAAUAAAAUAAAAAAAUCAUGUUAUGAUUAAGGGGGAGUCAAAGUUGUGUUAUAUGUAGAUCAACGAAUGCCGUGUCAAAUAGUCUGAUGAACUUAACACAAAUUGACUGAAUGUGAAUUUAUUGGAUCACGACAUGACUUAGUGACUUUUAGAAAUUCAAAUUCGAAAUAUGAAAUUAGACAGUAAGUUGUUUUCCCCUGAAAAUCAACGCCAUUGAAUUCUCUUAGAUUCUUAUAUAUUUUGAUUGUUAUUCAUCUGAUUUCCAAACUAAGAUCAUGAUUAACCUUGUUCUUUAGAUUUGAAAAUAUCAAUCUUGUUUGGUUGAACUAUGUUUUUUGGGCAUUCUAUUUGUUUUAUUACUUUUCUUUCUAAUUUUGCGAGUUAUUUGAUUUGAAUCUUGCCUUAAGUUGAAUGUUUGACCUAUUUCUAAGGUUUUUACAUGUCUCUAUGUUGUUAGUUGGUUUCUUAAUUUGUUUUGUUUUGUUAGUUCACUUUUAGCGUUCAUAAUCCUUCUAGAGUUUUUCACAUAGUCUCGAGCGUUUAUCCCAACGCUCAAGCAUUGGCUUCAUCGCUGAAGCACUCAAGUGCCCUAAGUUUUUUCUAGUGUCGCUUCAUGUGGUUGUAUCACUCAAGUACUCCUUAAGUUACAUCCAACGCUUGACAUAGAUAUGAUCGAGAAGAAAAACAUCGGUAGGCAGAGAUAUAUCGGUAGAUUCAAUACUUGGAUUUUAAGAAUAAUAAAUAUGAAUUUUGGAAGUGCAUAAAGUUAGAAUUGAGUUAAGAAAUAUUUGAUUUUAUUAAAUAAAAAUAAUUUAUGCAUAAAUAUAAUACAUAUGACAUUGCAAUAGUCCUUAGUACUAAAAUAAAGAUCAAUGUGGUUCCAUCAUAUUGUUAGAUGAAAGGAGCCCAUCUUGUUGAAGACAAUAUUUAUUUAAAAAAAAUUUAAAUAUUUUUAUUAAAACAUGUUUUAUUACAUUUUAAAUGAAAAAUUAAAUUAAUUUAUAUAAAAUAUUUUAUUUGAGAUUUAAUUUCUAAAAUUUUAUUAAAAAUAUGUGAUAACAAAUUUUUCUAUUAACAUUAAUUUAUUUAAAUAAUUAAAAUUAUUAAUAAUUUAUCUUAUCAAAUUAAUUUUAAUUUAUAAAAUAUUAGAACUUUCUUAAUUUUUUAUAUUAUAGCAAUUUUUUGGGUAAAAUUAUAUUUUUAAUAUUUUAAAAUAAAAACAUUUAAAAUUUAAAUAAAAUUGAAAGGAUAAAUGUAAAAAAAAAAAAUUAAUAGUGAAGUGAUAAUAAUUUUUAAAAAUAAGAUUAAUGAGAUAAAUAUGAAAAGUGUUAAAAAAAAAGGGGUAAUAUAAAAUAAAAUGAUAAUAUAAAAACAUGGUUGAAAUUUGGACCAUCUCAAAAAUUCAAAUCUAGAAAUUUUCAAAAUUUUCAAAAGAAACCCCAAAAAAAUCCCCGAUUUUUCGAAGAUUUUUUUUCGUUCUCCCCCACAUCGCUCCACUCGCGAUUUUAUUGCUGAUUUAUCAGUUCCAGACCGAUAUAUCGUCGAUAUUUUGACAAUUUGCACGAUAUUUUUUUUUAUAUUCCUCUCGUUCAAUAAUUAGUGCUCAAAAUCGUUUCGGGGCCAUCCGAUAUUCGAUAUAUCGGCGAAAUAUCGCCGAUAAAAACCGAAAUUUUAAUCCAUGCUCCUAGCACACCUUUUUGAAUCUAUUUCACUUCUUUAGUUCAUUUGAGCACUUUGGGUUGCUGCUUUUUGGCUUCUAGUGAUCUGUUCAUGGCUUGUUUCAUCUUUUCAUCUUUUCAUCUUCAUAGUAUUGUUUAAGAUUGCUUUCUAAGCAUUUCUAAUGGUUUAGUUUCCUCAUAUAUUUUUCUCGAUUUUUUAGCUUUUUUACUUUUAGUUUUUGUAUGAUAUGUCGUUGUUGUCUUAGGGAGGUGUCUUCUCCGAAGCCUUACUCUCACGAAGUUGUUCAGGGCAUCCCUAUUUAGGGUCUUUUCGACUUGAAUAAUCUUCCAUUGGAGCAUUUUCACUCUAAGGAGGCUCAAGAUAGAUAUUACUCUGUUCUCCGGAGUCAUCGAGUCAAGGUAGAGCUACCCAUUGAUCUUAGAGCCUUUAAGGACACCUCUUUCUUGGUUUCUUCCAUGUUAGGGGCUUGGAAACUCUUAUGACUGUUUGAGAGACCUCAUAUCCUCAUUACAUUCAGAUAUUCAAUUCAAACAUCCAUUCAAUAGUUUGUGGUCUCAUAUUUAGUGUCACCAUGUAUGGCUAGACCUUCAUGGUCUUUACCUAAUCUAUCAGGUGUGUUAUGGGCAUGUUUUUUCUUACUAAUCAGCUAGCUUUUAGUCUUCUUUCCUGAGGUUUAAGCACUCACUAGAGGUGAGCUUGCCUCUAUUCCUGUUACUUUGUAUGACGAGUCCUAUUCGUUGUCGACUUAUGUUUCCAUUGCUAACUUCACCAAGUUAGCUUGGGUUCUCGCUAUGUUUAUGUCUUAUUCCUUCUACUCCUCCUUCCAUCGUACUUAGAUUUGUCACCUUGUGGCUUGUUUUAUUCAUACCAUUCUCUUUGGGUAGUAGUUCGACAUUGCCUAGGUGAUCCUUGACAUGAUGACAUCAUACCGCGAUCCCACCAUCCGCAGUGGAGCUUCCCUAUUCACCCUUCUUAUUACUAUGAUUCUGGAGCACAUCAGUUUCAAUUUCGUUCUUGCUUUGGUAGCUUGGGUGUCUCGCACUCUCAUUAAUGCGAGUUCCUGGGUCAAGCACUAUAGCCAUGUGUACGGUCGAUAAUCCCUCUGGCCUCAGCUCAAUGAACCUCCAUUCCUCUAACUUCAAUGUCAUAAGAGGUGGCUCAAGAGACCGCAAUAGAGAAGGAGGAGAUUAGGCCAACGGAGUAAGAUUCUCCCAUUUUAAAGGUGGUUUCAAGAUGGGGAAUAGGGCCCUUGUUUUCACCCGUCUCCAAUUCUGGAUUUUUAACAUUUGUUGACCUCAACCCUAAUUAUUUCUUCCAAUCUAUGCCCCAUUACAAGCAUUUUUUGUUAUCUCCUUAUCCCCACUUUAUGGUGGGCUUAGUCCAGCACAAAUAGGUUGGUGAGUUAGUUAAGGUUUGUCUUAGAGGCCUAAAUGGACCAGACAUGAGCCUAGUUUUUUAUAACACCUACUAGUGGUGGGCCUUUGGCUCUUCUAUUGUAAGCUCCAAGGCUUCAUUGACAUAACAAAUGAUCAGGCAAAACCAUUUUAUAUUUUUUAUUGUUAGCUAUUAUAUUUUUACUUUUAACCAUAAGUAAGGAGAAAAGGGCUAGUUUCUUGGCCUAAAAAACCCUUGUAUUCAAGCUUAUGAUCUAGGCUAGGGUUUCAAAAUUGGGCCUUUUAGCCAAGAAGAAUUUGGGCUCAGGGCGUUAGAUAAAUCAUAAUUAAUGUAUGAUUUUUGAUUUAUUUCUUUUAAGCAAGUUCAAAAUCAUUGAAUGUGAUAGAAAUUUAUUAGACCUGUGUGGAUUAACAUAAAAUGUUAGGAAAAAUAAAAGUGAGGAAAUGAAUUUAAAUUUUUAAAUUGGAUUUUUCAUGAAAAAUAUGAAGAAAAAUAAUAAAAUAUAAUAAAAAAUACCAUAAAAAUUUUCAAUUUUCAAAGUUUUCGUUCCUUUUAUAAAAGAAAUAAAUAAAUUUGGAGAUUUGUUUUAUAACUCUAAAUGUGAAAAGGGAAUAGAGGUGUUGAAAUGGUAAUCAAUAAAAACCUACAAAAUUUUCAAUAAAGUAAUUUACAAAAUAAGAAUAAAAAUAUAAAAAAAAUUACAAAAUAUUGGUAGUUGGAUUUUAUGAAAAUAUUGAAAAAUAUUAUAUAAAAAUUCCUAAAAUUUUUUUAUGCAAUCAAAAUUGGCCAAAACCCAUAACAAGAAAGGAAAACCCACCUUUUUCUUUUCAAUCCUAAACUUCAAAAUACUCAAAUUCAAUUUUCAUACAAAAUUAAACUAAAUAUAUUUUUAGAAAUUUUAAAUAACUCUUGUUUUAGAAACUAGUUAAACUACCUUCAUGUAGUAUAAUUUAAAUUAAAAAAAUGAAUUUACCAUAAAUUAAUGAAAUUAUCAUUCUCAAAUAUUUAAUAUGACUAAAAUAAAUUUUGUUUUUUUUCUAUUUUUUCUCUUCUUUUUCAAGAAAAUUUAGAUCUAAAACUUUCCCAUGAAAUGAUAACUCAUAAACCACACCAACAAUAUAAAAGUGAAAUCAAUAUAUAUAAAAUAAAGCCACAAAUUUCAAAAUCAUAAAACCAAAAUUCUAUCAUAUUUAACUACUAUUUUAAACUUAAAUUUCAAGGUUUUUAAUAAAAUUUUACCUCAAUGAAAUAGUGAUUUAAAUUUUUUUUUUUUUACUUUAAUAAAAAAGUUGUUUUUUCAUCGGUUAUCUUUUCCAUCUUCAACUUUAUUAUAAUACUCAAAUCUAAUUUUUUUUUUUUAUACAAAAUUAAACUAAACUUAUUUUUGAAAAUUUUAGAUCACUCUUGUAUAAAAAACUACUUAAACUACUUUAAUAUUAUAUAACUUGAAUAAAAAAAUGAAUUUAUCAUAAAUUAACAAAGAUAUUAUAAAAAUAAAUAAAUAUGACUUAAAUAAAUUUUUUUUUAUUGAUAUUUUUUGACAAAACCAUAACCUUUCAAUAGCCUGAUUGUGUUGGACCAAGCCCACCUUAAAGUGGGCGUGUAACAGUAAGGAGAUAAUAAGAAAUGUCUGCUACUCAACCAGUAGGGAGAGAUGGUGCCAACUUAUAUUGUGUUUUCCAUUGUACUGGAUUAUUGGUCUUUGACACUACUUUGAAAGUUUAUUUUGGGUGUUUUUUAGUCCUUUUUAGAGUGUAGGAUUAGUAAAAAAAAAAUUGCAUGAAUUGAAUCUUUGUUGUGCUCUUAAUUCAUGCAAGAGAAUGACAUCUUGUGGGAUGAGAAUUCUUUGAUCCCUAAAUUUUUUAUAUCACAAGCAACCAACAAACAAAUUCCAUACACCAAUGUUUUAAAAAUGUGACCAACCAAUCAAAUUAGUUGGCUCUACUCGGUUUGGAUACAAUCUUGACGAUUGGUAAACUAGUGGAACCAACUAGGUUUGGAACCGGUCUUGAUUUUUUUCCAUUUUGGUUAGACAAAAAUUUUGGAAAAAAUCAAUAAAUAGAGAUGAUGUUGAAAUUUUAAUAAAAUUAUCAUUUAUAUUUAUGUUCAACUAUUUUUCGUUAUAAUAUAGUUAUAGAAUGUAGUUGCAAACUAGAAGAAUAUAGUUGGAGGAAUGGUGUAUGCUCUAGUGGAUGGUGUGGACCCGUAUUUAUCACGUGCGUCCCCACUCGAUCGGCGAGACUCGCUUUUAUUUUGGAAAAGUGAAAAUUUUAGUUUUGGAAAAAAAUUGGAGUCGCCACUUAUUUUUAUUUUUAUUUUAAAGGGAAAAUAAAACAAGAAAGAAAAACCCUAAAAAAUGACUCCAUAAUUUUUGGAGAAAGGCAUGUCUUUGAAAAACCCGAGUCUAGGUACGGGGAUCAGGUUACCUAUCAGGAAGGUACCUUUAAAAGGUAACACCCUUCUAAGCCCUAUAGAGGUCUCUACUAACUAAGUUGAGGGAAAUGUGGCAAUUAAUCGAUUAAUUAUAGAUACCUAAGUAAGCUUGGUGAUUUUAAAAUAACAUGUUAACAAGAAAAUCAAUCACAAUCAUAUAGAAGAUUCAGGGUGCGUACCUGAACCACUUCUUAAGCGCUAUCAUAAAACAUCAAUUGUUAGUUUAGAUAGUAUAUCACUCAACAUGCAUUUUAUCAUGAAUGAUCAAACAACGUAACAAAUAUCAAGACAUCCCAAGCAUUCUCAAACAUAGGUGUAAUUUACAAUGACAAUCAUAUUUAUAAAAUUUAGAAAGUAGGUGACAGGGGACGUACCUGGAUAGCAUAGAUAUCUCGUAACGUGCUUCCAAAAGACAUGAGGGGUUAGAUAAUAAACAAUAAAAUAACAAGUCCUAGCAUGCUUGUUGUCUAAUUAGCAUAGAAAAAAAUUGUCACAGUAUACAAAACCAUCAAUUAUCACUUAUAUCUUCUAUAUAGUUCCUAAAAAGAUAAAUAGACAUGAUUUCAUCAAAUAGCAAAGGGAGCACCAAAGGUGAGUUUUAAAAUUUUCCUUAUGUAGGGGUUUCACCAAUUCCCCAAUUGAUAUACACGGACCUAGCUUAGGAUCAUCCCAUUUGUUUGGGACCACAAGCUUAGAUUCAUGUCUUACUCAAAACUGUAAUUUCAUUUUAAAUUUGAGACAAAUGCAAACCAAUCAAAACAUGGUUGCACAUUAUUUAAGAAAAUGAGAUUUUGAUUCUAAGAACUCUAGAUGAAUUUUUUUUUUAAAUGAUUUUUUAAAGGGGUCUUUUGAGAAUUGUGUUAUGUUUUUUUUUUUUUUAAAGUAAAAGAAAUUAGUUCGCAAACAAUAAAACGUAUGAAUCAAAAUACCAAGCAAAACAAAAGAGAACAAAAUCGUAAAAUAGGAUUUUUUAUUUUAUUUUAUUUUUUUACAACUGAGAAAAUUGAAGUGGUGGGAAUGGAGGCCAAUCUUCACUAUUUUUCAAUAGCCUCCAAAAAUUAAAUUUGACAAAGGAUGACCAAAGUGAUAAACCGAAACCUUAGAUCUUACAAGCACUGAAACUUUAACAACAUUUAAUCUUAAGAUAAACUUAAUCAGACACUAAAUAUUAUGUGACCUUUAAAAUAGUACAAACGAUACAUAUCAACUAAUAUUGACAAUUUGGAGUCAUAAAUUUAAUUGACUAACUAAACAAAUGAAUAAUAAAAAAAACAAAAAAAAACAAACACAUAAAAUAAAUAAAAUUAAUCAAAAACUAAAAUGAACUAUUUUUAAACACAAAAUGACAACAUGAGGAUAGAUUAAACUAAUAGCCUACAAUUUGAAAGCAUAGAAUUAAUAGAAAAAUGGAAUUAAAAAAUCUUAACAUAAACUAAACAAUAUGAAACCAAUCGAAUUAAUUAAAACUCUAAAGAAUAUCAACUAAAGCAGGAUCAAUCAAAACUAAAAUAAUUUUUUUUCUUUAUUUAUUUUAAAACAUGAAUAUAUCAACGCGGAAUGAAAUAAAUUAACCAACUUAAAUUCUAAAAUUAAUAAACUAAAAGAAUGAAUCAUGAAUUAAAUUUAACAACCUUUAGAUAUGAAAAGAUGUGACAUGGAAUCAAUUGAACUAAUAAACUGAAUUUUAAUAACAUCUAAAAUAAAAGAUAAAUUAAAACUAAACUAAAAGAAAUUAUGAAUUUCCUAAUUGAGAACCAAAAUAAUGCUAAUCAAAAUUCUAAAUUUUUAACUAUCAUAACAAAUUAUCUAAACUCUAAAAAAUCUUAACUUUUCCAUUAUUAACAAAAAUUGCCCAAACCAAUACUAAAAAAACUAAUUUGUCAAACUAAGAAAAUAAAUUGUAACUACAUUGAACAAAAACAUAAUUUUCAAGCUAGAAUAAUAAAUCAAAAAUAAUUUAUUUAUAAUUGGAUAAAUAUAUAUAUGAUCAAUUAUUUUAAUGAACUAAAAUUUUAUAAGAGUGCUUAAAUCUAAGGUAAAAUUAAAAACUAACAAAAAUGAUUUUUAAAACUAAAUCUCUAACCUAUAGAAUCAAUUUAUAAAAAAUGAUUUUUUAAACUAGAUCCAUAACCUAUAGAAUCAAUUUUAUUUUAUAAGUAGAUAAAUACAUAUAUCUGGUCAAUUAUUUUAAUGAACUAAAAUUUUAUAAAAGUGCUUAAACCUAAAGUAAAAUUAAAAACUAACAAAAAUGAUUUUUAAAACCAAAUCUCUAACCUAUAGAAUCAAUUUUAAUUAUAAUUAAAUAAAUUACAAAGCAUUAAAUUGGUAACAAAUGAAUAAAUAAACAAUCAAUAAUUAAAUGAAUCAAAACCACAUCAAAUAAAGAUUAAAAUAUGUAUUUAUUUUUUUCAAGUAAAGCUACCUAAAAUCAUAUUUUAUGAAUUUAAUAUAAUACAUUAAAACUAACCUUUAACGUGAUGAAUAAAAAAAUUAAACAAAUGUGAGAUUGUAUUGCCAUAUUAAAACAAACACGUGUUGAAGCUAAUAAACAUAUCAACCCACUCACCCAAUAUAAUAAUCCAAAUUGAAAAUGGUACACCAAAUAUAAUAACUAAAACAAUUAAACCAAAAAGUAGUAUUCUUGCUGCCAAAUUAAAGAAAACGUACUGGACCAAUAAAGCAUUCAACCCAAUAUAAUAAUCUAAAUAGGAAUCAAACCAGACUUUUAUAUUUUUUUUUAAAGCAACACAACAUAAAAACCAAACUUACCCAGCGGCUAAGUGCGUGUUAAAGGUGCUUCCUGUGGAGGAAGAGUGGGAAGAGAAAGGAUGAGGCGCGGAGCCGCAAAGAGAGAAUGUUGACGGCAAAGAAACUGAGGUGGUGGCUUGGUGAUCACCCGAGAUGUGCGGCUGGUAUGGCGCAGGGUGCAGCCGUGACACUUGCAGUGUAAGAUCACGCUCCGAAACCUGAUAUGGAGCCGUUUGGAUGAAGAGUAGAUGUGCGGACUGAUGAUGGAUGCAGCCCGUGGAGAUGAAGAUUUGAUGCGUGAACUACUCUCAGCGAGAAACCCAUGUUCAGCCGACUGAUGGUUCUCUUCUCCAAGAUGUGAAUUUCCCCUGGACUCCCCUGUAGAUGGCAGGCAUGUGUAUGUGUUCCCUCCACCAUGUGGCUGCAACUUCUUCCUUUCUUCGUAGAGUGCUCCCCCUUUCCAGAAAAUCACCUCAGAGUAUCCUCUUUUCUCCUUCCUAAUGUCAAAAAAUACUUGUCUUUUUUUACGGUUGCUACCUCUCUCUUCCUUCUCAAUGGUGCCCCUUCACGUGCCCUGAAUCCUCCACCUUAUUCUCCUCUAAAAACCAACCCCACUUCAUCACCGAAUUUGCCAUCUUUUCAUGCCCUGAAUCCACCUUUCCUCCAACCCUCCUUCUCUCUUCUCUACUUCUCUUCCCUCCCUGCUCUUCCUUCCAAAACCAGCCACCUUCCUUUCUCUAUAGAGCGCUCUAUCUCCUCCCAAAAUCAGCGCAAUACCUUUUUAAAAAACCCUUUCUGUAUCUUCCUAGAAAAAUGAGAUCAAUUCCUUCACCAGCCUCUUAUUCAUCUUCUCCACGUGCUAAAAAUCAUUUCUCUUUUCCUUCAAACCGACGUGUUUCUUCUUUUCCAAAAUCCUUUUCCAAGUCCAGGAUCUCUUUUUUCCACUCAUUGAUUCCACCAACAUGGGAAGACAACUCACCAGAACUCUCUCUUCUCUGAACAUAGCCCACAUUUCGUCCCUAUACAUGCUGCACAUUUUUUUUUUUCAUGCCAAACCGUUUUGGUAAUUCACCUUUCCCAAAAAAAAAAAAAUCACAUCCCUUCUAAUCAGUUUCUCAAGAAUUCGCUGAAAAAUUCUUCCUUCUAGACUUGUUCCAAUAGUCGUCCAUUUGGUAAGUUUCCUGCAUAAACAUGAAAUUAUUAGAUUUAAUAAAUAAAUAAAUAAAUAAAUAACUCAUUUCAUGCAAUUAUAAAAUAAUAAUAAUAAUAAUAAUAAUAAUAAUGAAAUAAUAUAAAUAAAUCAAAACUCACUUAAUCUUAAAAGCAAUCAAUAAAAUAAAUAAAGAAAGAAAAACAAGAAAACAAAUCUAAGUGAAACUAAACCUUGAAAAGUGCCUAAGUGGGCCUAAGGUGGUGCCUAAUGGACCGAAGUCUAAAUGGGCCUAAAGUGAUGCCUAAUGGGCCAAGUGUACCUAAAUGGGCCUAUGGUUACCUAAAUAGGCCUAAAGUGUCUAAAUGGGUCUAGGGUGGUGCCUAAUGGGCUUAAAGGGCCUAAGUGGGCCUAGGGUGGUGCUUAAGUGUAUCUAAGUCUAAAUGGGCUACCAGGAGUCACAAUAGAGUUCGAUAAAUCCCUCAACCAUAGUCCCCAAGGUGGCUUAGAGUAGAUAGGCUAGGCGAGUAAUAAUGGGCCGCCAGGGAAUUGCUGUAAAGGACAUGUGCUAAGAGGACAAAAUGGAGGGUCUACAGAUGGUGUCUCACACUUAAUUCCCAUGGAUAGAGGAGUAAGAGUCAGAGACAUAACAAAUGGAAUUGGCACUAAAACGGGUUGUGAAUUUGAUUGAGAAAUAACUAGUCUCAUGAUAGAUAAAGGAAUGACUGUGCUAAGAAGAAAUGGGGUUUUGUCGCGGUUCUUUGUAGGUUGAUGAGUUCUUCGGUCUAACAUGUGUGAUUUUCUUACUUUUGAAACUUCAUUUUUGGUUUUGAUCCAUUUUAGAGAAGAUAUGUGACACAAUCCAAAAUGGGGUUACAUUGUCUCUUGCUUUUGGCUGUUGUUAUCAUUUGUUGCCUUCAUAUGGUAGAAUGAUGUUUGUUAACUAAAACUUCUAUGACCAAGUUUGAAUUUGAUACAUGGGUGGAGCUGAUUUGUUUAAAUAUUCAUGUUUUGGUGAAACAAGUCAUUUUAAUUGAGCAAAAAAUAUAUACAAUGUAGAAGAUGGAUAAAAUUAAGUUAAAUACUUACAGAAAAUUAAGAUUUUAAGACUCUUCAAUUUAAUAAAAGUUUUGUUGUACUAAGGAUUAUGGGUUAUGCAUUCAAUUUUGGGUAGAAGGAAAAUACUAUCCAAACAAGCCCUACAUAUAAUCUAGAGCUUUCCCAUCCCCAGGAAGCUUAGGGAAUGGAUUAGAUUAAAUAAGUUAGCUCAAAAGCGAUGUAAAAUGUGGGUAUGUUGUAUAAAAACACACAUAUAUAUUUUCUUCUUGAUUUUCACCAUUCAAAAAGUUAUGAUUUGCUUAAUUUGAUGGAAAAAAAAACCAUACUACUUUCUUUUUUUUCCCAAUUAUAAAUUUUAGCCACUUUUUGUGAAAAUUAACUAGAAUUCUGUAGACACCAAAAAGGGGGGGAAAUGUCAUAGAUUUAGGUUAACAAAGAAAUAUAGUUGGGAUAAAUAAUUAAAAUAUCUUACAUUGGACGAUCAUCAUAUCCCACUCAAAUUUAAUAAGGUAGUGGAAACAUAACUAAUAAAUAUAUUUUCAAAGAGAAUUUGAAAAUUUGAAAUAGGGAAUUUCUUCUAUUCAUUUUUAAUAAUUUUUAGGGGCUACUAUAAAUUUUAUCCACAAAGGGAUAACGUACUCUUUUUUUAGUAGUUAAACAAGCUAUAACCUUUGAGAAUCACUAUUGAUCUUAAUAAAGGUCCUUUUUAUAUUAAGAAAUUUCUCUUUGAAUAAAUUCAAAGAGAAAAUUUGCCUUUUAUUGCAACUGUAAUGACAUUCACUUUCAAAGCUUGUAAUUAUACAUAGAGCAUAUAAAGAUCUACAAACAAAAUUUAUUACCUUUGCAGGUGAUCUUUGGCAUAGGUUGCUCUUCCUCUCAACAACCAUUUGACAAUUUUAUCCACAAAAUCAAAGUAGGUCUCACACCAAGAUUUCCUUGUUGCCAAAACAAAAUAUGGAACUAAAAUACCCAUUGCAAAUCCCAAGCCAACACUCAAGUAAAACCAUUGAUCAAUAUAACCACCAUCAUUUUUGUCCUCAAUAGCACUAUACUUUUUAUCUAGAUCUUCAUCUUGGCAUUUUGUGACCAAUGGAGCUCCACAAAGAUUAGGGUUUCCAACAAAGGCCGACUCAUUGAAGGUUGACAUUUGCCCCAUAAAGAGGAUCUUGCCAGAGAAAUUAUUAUUCGAUAGAUUCAAAUAACUCAAGAAUGUUAAUGAAACCAUGCUUGAAGGAAUGCUGCUGGAAAGCUUAUUCCUUGACAAAUCAAGAGAUAAUAACUGGUGCAACAUUGAAAUGCUUUCAGGAAUUUGGCCACUGAUGUGAUUCCCAGACAAGUUCAAAACCACCAAACCAAACAAUUUUGUUAUUUCUUGGGGAAGCUCUCCACUUAAAUUAUUGUCGGAUAGGUCUAUGCCUACAACCAGAGAAAGAGUCCUGGUGUAUUCAAGACUUUGGCCUUUCAUAAUCACCACCAAUCGUUCUUCAUACAAGAGUUGCUCACAUGGUCAUACAAAGGAUAUAUAUUCUUGUUAUACUCCGGAACCAUGGCUUUAAGCUCAAACAAAGUGACUGGAAUUUCACCCAUCAGAUUGUUUUGUGCAAGGUCUAAGACAUGUAGGGAGCUUAAAUUUGAAAGCUGGAAGGGAAGUCUUCCAAAAAAUACAUUUGACCUCAAGUUGAGUAUUACAAGAUUUAUGAAAGCAGUUCCAAUCCAUGAAGGAACCUUACCCGAUAACUGGUUAUAACUGAGAUCAAGGAGUUCUAACCUUGAUAAAUUUUGGAAAGACGAGAGGAGCUCUCCUGAAAGCUUGUUAUCGUUCAGAUGCAAUGAUUCGAGCCAUUGUAACUGGCCCAAGGACUUUGGUAUCAUCCCAGAUAAAUUGUUAUUUCCAAGGUCAAGAAUAAUUAGGCUAGAGCAAUUACCUAUGGUAUAAGGAAUGCUUCCAGUCAAAUUAUUCCUUGAAAAAUCAAUGACUUGAAGAGAGGUGAUGUGUCCUAUGGAAUCUGGGAUGGUCCCAGAUAAAUUGUUAUUUCCAAGGUCUAGAACAAUUAGGCUAAAGCAAUUAUUUAUGGUAGAAGGAAUGCUUCCAGUCAAAUUAUUCCCUGAAAAAUCAAUGACUCGAAGAGAGGUGAUGUGUCCUAUGGAAUCUGGGAUGGUCCCUGUUAUUUGAUUUUCCGAAAGCGAAAGGUAAUUCAAGUCUAACAUAGAUUCACCUCUGCUCAGUGGGAUAGGGCCAGAAAAUUUAUUGUGGGAGAGAUCUAGUGAAGAAACCCCUUUGAUUGAAAAAGGAAUAGGUCCUUCAAAGAGGUUGGAACUGAAAUCGAUUACAGCAUCACCAGAAGGAAAUUUUAAUGAAUUUGGUAGCUGACCUUGUAACUGAUUGUCAUAAAGUAUUAUGGUCUGCAGAUGAAAAGACAUAUUCCAAAACCACUUGGGUAUGGAACCUGAGAUGCUAGCAUUUGACAAAUACAGAUAGGAGACCUCCUUUUGAGACCUAAGCCAAGUCGGGAAUGAAGGGCCUAAAUUGCAUGAAGCCAUAAUCAGAUCAGCAAUUUGGAAUGGGGGGACCCAGGUGGAACAAACAUUCAAAACGAGACCUGAAUUUCCAUCCAUCAACAGAGUCUUCAACUUACUUAACUUUGAAAAAUGUUCUUCAGAAAGAAUUCCAGUCAAGCGAUUCCCAUAAACUUCCAAUACAACCAAUUCAGAAAGUUGUCCAAAACUAACUGGGAGACUCCCAUUCAGUUCAUUCCAUCCAAGCCGCAUCUCAUUCAGAUUUUUGAAUGUCCCAAAAGAAGCAGGGAUAGGGCCUUGAAGCUUAUUGUGGGAUAGAUCGAGAUAUGUAAGUUUUUCCAGUUGACUCAACUGUUCUGGCAAUCGGCCCACUAAUUGAUUCGAGGACAAGUCCAAAUACCCCAGUUCUGGUAAAGGACCUUCAGAACUGCAGUUUUUGAUCUCUUCGAGAAACUCAGAGAAACUUCCUGCAAUCAUCAUCAAGAGUAUUAAAAUAAUUUGUUUUUAAUAAAUUGUUUUAUGAAAAAUAAGAAAGUUCACGAGAAAGGUAAGAAACUUUGCCUUCUUAAUGCAUUAUCAAAUGAACGGAGAAAAUAUAAUUUAAAAUAUUUUUAGAAACAAGUGUCUGCAUGGAAUAAAUUGAGAAUAUUGUUUUUAGAAAUUAAAGUUUCCAAACAAAAUUUUGUUUCAAAAUAUAAUAUAAUAUUUGUAAAAAUUAUUAUAAAAAAACUCAAAUUUUGAUUUUGAAAAAAUAUUUUAAAAAGGUUUACAAGAAACAAAAUACAUUAUAAUAUUUGUAAAACUAUUAUAAAAAACUCAAAAAAUGAUUUUAGAAAACUAUUUUAAAAUUUGUUUACAACCAAAACCUAGAUUUUGUAGUGUAAUCUUUCAAAUACAUCAAAAGCCCUAAAAAGUCCCCUUUAUUGGUCAAUUGUGCAAUGAAUUUAUGACAAAUCAUGCAUCAUCAAGAGUAAAAAAUAAUUUAAUUUAAAAUAAUUUUCAAAAAAAAAGAGAGAGAGUUUAUGAGAAAAUAAUUUGAUGAGUGGUGAGAAGAUAAUUGAAGUUGCUUUGAUGGUUUAAUGAUAAAAGUAAGAGAUUAUUAGAAAGUCAGAAUAAUUUAAUGCAAAAUAUUUUUUAAAAACAAGUGUUAAACUGUAGAACCACUACUUAUUUUGAUGUAUCGAAAUCAAUAAGCAAUAAUAAUUUUUCUAAGCUAAAAAAGUACCAAGAAAUUUAUUGAUUGCCAAAUUCAGAAAUUCUAUCUUAUUCCAGCUUCCGCUUAACAGUUGAGAGCAACUACCUGUGAGAUUUUUGUUCCAAGAUAGAUCCAAGUGCUGCAAGUUAGGUAGUUCCCCAAGGCCAGGUGAAAUCUGCCCAUAUAACUGAUUAAAGCUUACAUCAAUGUAUACAAGGCUGCUAAGGUUUAGAAGCCAUAUUGGGAACUUUGACCGGAAAGAGUUGCCACUGAUGCUUAUGACAGAUAGUGAAGUAAAAUUGAUAGAGUUUAGAGAUGAAAUUGAACUAGAGAGCCCACAAUGUUGUAGGUGCAACUCUGUUAAAAAUGAAAGCUUGUUGAAUACCUCCAUCCAGUGAGAUCCUACCAUUGAUAGGUUGACAUAGUUCAACUUGAGAUGCCUUAAGGAAACAAGAUUAGUCAUCCAUUCAAGGUCCUUAACAAAUAACUGAGAUUCAAUGGAAGAAAGAUCAAGAAAUUGCAAAUUAGAAAGGUUUCCCAAGGUUGGAGGAAUUGCACCUCUGAAUCCACAAUUUGAUAAGUUUAGAUAUUGUAAAUUUUUCAAAGAUCCGAAGAAUUUAGGAAUUGGGAUAUUCUCAAAUGAGUUGCCACUCAAAUCUAAAGAUCUCAAAGAUUUGAGUUCUAUCAAAGAAGGUCGGAUCUCCCCGCUUAAGUUCAUUGAGCUCCAAUUUUCAUAUGCUUCUUCAAGAUAAUAUGGGUUAUGAAGAUUGAUUGAAAUAACAACUCCUGUGUUAUUUUCACAACCAAUUCCCUCCCAUUGACAACAAUUGCCUCCUAUCCAUGAUGAAAGCCGGUUGUUAGAAGAAUCUUUGAGACCAUUUUUGAAGUCAAGAAGAGCUUCUCGAUCAGCUUUUAAGCAAUUUCCCUCAAGGGUUUCACUCUUGCAAGCAAGAUCUCUUGUUAUUAAACAUAGAAUGACAAAAAGGAAACCAAGAAUUGAAAUUUUCUCCAUCCAAGAACACCUAUAAAAACAAGUAAUUAAUAUUAAGUUUCAAUAGAAGAAUCAAAAUAGUGAUGAAAUUUGAUAAGUAAUCAAAACUUCAAGUUAUUGGAUAUUAAAUAACACAUAUUUUAAUCAAUCAUAAGUUUAAUAAGAUUAAAACAUGUCAAAUGGAUGGCAUACUUGAACACAUAUCCAUAUCAAACAUGGUCUGAUGAUUGUUGCUUAUCAAAACUAUAGAAAUCACCCACAAGAGAAGCUUAGAAGCAUUAGGCAGAGGAAAACACUAGAGACAACUUGGCAUUAUUGGUAAAGUAAAACAAGACUAGUCAUCCAUUCAAGAUCAUUAACAUAUAAAUCAUAGGAUUCAAAAUUAAUAAAUAAAUCAAAAGAUUCAUGGCUAGAAAGAUCAAGAAAUUUCAAAUUAGAGAGGUUUCCCAAGCUAGGAGGAAUUGCACCACUAAACCCACAAUUUGAUAGGUUUAGAUAUUCUAAAUUUUUUAACUAUCCAAAGAAUUCAGGAAUUGAAAUAUGCUCAAAUAAGUUCCCACUCAAAUCUAAAUAUCUCAAGGAUUUGAGUUCUAUCAAUGAAGGCCUAAUCUCUCCACUCAAGUUCAUAGAAGUUUCAUUCUCAUAUGCUUCAUCGGGAGAAUGUGGGUUAUGAAGAUCAACUGAAAUAACAACUCCCAUUUUAUUUUCACAAUCAAUUCCCUCCCAUUGACAAUAAUCGAGCCCUCUCCAUGAUGAAAUCUGGUUGUUAGAACCUUUGAGACCAUUUUUGAAGUGAGUAAGAUCAUCUUUAUCAUUUUUUAAGCAAUUUCCCAAAAUGGUCUCACCUUAACAAGUAAGUUCUCUUUUUAUUAAACAUAGAAUGAUUGAGAAUUGAAAUUUUCUCUAUCUAGGAACACCUGUAGAAACAAGUAAAAUUAAGUUCCAACACAACAAGAAAAAUAGUGACAAAAUUCAAUUAGUAAUGGAAACAAGACAUUAGACAAUUAAUAACAUAUUUAAUUUAACUAGUCAUUUGUUUAAUAAGAUUAAAAAUUCCCAAGUAAACAACAUAUUUGAAUACAUGUCAAAGAAAAUAUAAUUGAAAUCAUCCCAACAAAUAUCAAAUAUGCUUUGAUGAUUGCUAUUGAUCAUACAUUCCAACUGUAGAAAUCACCUACAAAAAAAAAAAACUUGAAGCAUUAGAUAGCGAGAAACACUGUAAAUAACUUGGCAUUAUUAGUGGAGUAGGAUGUUACCAAUUUUUUAUUUUUUCUUUCUGGUGUAGUCAUUCCUUUAGAUGCAGAGACAUAUAUAGAAGAUAAUUCAACUAGAAACCAUGUGGAUGAUAGUGAUAGACUCCUUUCCUUUCUUUUUAGCAAUAUUUUUAAAAAUAGACUAGACCAACCAAUUGAACCGAUUCAAUUGUUGACCAAUUCACUUUCCAAUUCAGGUGACCUUUACCAACCAUUUUGGGCUUAAAACGGUGGGAAACCAAUUACUACUACUUGAUUAUGAUCAAAUUGUGUAUAUGAAGUAAAAAAGCUGAAUUUGUAACUAUUUUUCUAAAAAGUUUUUGCCAAGAAAAAAUAUUUAAGUGAUGUUUGUUUUUUUAACUUAAUAUAAAAUGCAAUUUAAUUUCGAACUUCAACUAUUUGUUUUAAUUUUUUUUUCCAACUUUUAACUUAUUUAUCAAUAUUUUUAAUUAAAUAGAAAAAACUAAAAUAUGUAACUUUUUACUUAAUUUAAAAAGUUAACUGAUUCAUACUUUUAACCCCUCCAACCUAACUCACAUUGUGAAAAAAUAAUUAAAUUAAUACUUAAUACUUUUAAGUUGUAUUUAAAAUUAAGCUAAAUUAAGUUCUAUUUAUAUGUAACUAAAAAAAACUCCAUCUUAAUCUAUUAGCUCUUAAUUUAAAAAAAAAAAAAAAAAUACUUAAUCUAUCAUGUUGAACCAAACUUUAACUUUGCAUGAUGUCAAUAAUAAUAAUAAUAAUAAUAUGCACAUAUAAAUGAUAAAGUCAUUACCUCUAUGAAUUGGGUCAUGGAAAAAUCUUCCUCAAAAUAUCACAAUCUUCAUGUUGUCUUAUCAAUAUGUAUACAAGUAAAACCAAUAAGUUUAUAAGUAAUGUUUCACAAUCUUAUAAAAAAUUAAGGGGAAAAAAAUAAAAUAAUCAAUAACACAUCAAAAAACAAUUUUAGCAUACCACCCCAAAAUAAAUAAAAUCUCUUAAAAAUUUGAAAAUUUCUAUUAUAAGGUUAUUAUUUCGGAUAGAAUGACCAUGCCCAUCAAAGUUGGGUUUGCACUAAUCCAAUCCAAUCAAUCAAAUCAACUAUUUAAAGUAAUCCAAAAAUUGUGGCCACUUUUUAAAGGCACUUUCGUCAUGUCAUGUCAAGGGAAAUUUAAGGACAUUAUUUUCCUCAUUCAUUUAUUCAAGGUUUAUGUCGUGUGUACCAAGGUGGCCAUUUUUUCUUCAAUCAUUUUUAAUAUAUUUUCUUUCAUAUCUUGCUACCUUAUCAAGAAAAUUUUGCAUUAGCUUGACUUUGACUCCAUGCUUGGGUCGUCUAGAUUAGGGCCCUAUAAUUGUCUAUGACUUGUCAAUUACAUUUUAAAUUUUAUAGGACUUCGAUGAAUAUUUGAAAAUAAUAGAUAUUUUAUAUAUUUUAAUUUUUGUUGAAAAUAAUUUUUUUUUGGUAAAAAGAAUUUUACACUACCAAUUCAUUUCCUCACAUGGAAGUGCUGGGAAAAAUUUUUAAAUUACCUAAUCCAUUUGGUGCUUUUACAAAGUAUAUGAACUAGUUGUGCUUCGAUGAAUCAAUUGCUUUAGAUUAAUUAAUUUUCAACCAACUGAAUUAUACAUUUAGAUAUAAGGUAAUUUGGGUAAGUAACAUUUAAUAACUUCAUAAUUUCUUUAUUUAAAUCUUAUAAAAUAUUUGAGAAGAAAAUAAAAAAGUUACAAAUUAAAACCGCAAUGAAAAAUAAUAAGAAAAAAAAUAAACAAUAAGAAAACAAACACAUAAAACACGAUUGAUGUAGUUUGCCCUAAAGCCUACAUUCACAAAUGAAGAUAAAAAAAAAAACUUCCAAUAUUGUUUAAGAAGAUUAUAAUCUAACUCUUAAAUCCUAAAGUCUAAACUAAUUAUACCAAGAAAAAUGAUUAUUUCUUAUUCGUUAAAAUGUCUUCUCAUAUUUUCUUGAUUGGAAUAUUUAAUAUAAGGAACUAAUUAUCUAAUUAUUAGAUCUACAUAAUAUUUGUAGAGAUAUUACUAUUAAUUUUCCUUAUUCUAUAAAAGGAAUCUAAUUAUAAUCACAUGAUAUGAAUUUAUGAAAUAUUUUAUAUAAAGUGGUGAGGAAUAUAUGUGGUAGACAGAGAUAUGAGAAAGAGUGAGAGAUACUUGGUGGAGUUAUAGAGGGCUCAUUAGGGUGUAGAUGUGAGAAAGAGUAAAGAAUAUUUGGUGGAGUAAAAUGACUCAUGGUUCAAGGUGGGGAAAUAAAGCGUAGGGAAACUUAAGAUGUUUUGACACCCAAUAGUUGUAUCUAUUUCUAUUCUCUGUACUCUUUUACAUGACAUAGUAGAAUGUUAUUUCUCAUCUAUUAAGGUAGGCAUGGUUGGUCGAACCUUUGUGUGUGGUUUGCUUUAUUUUUAAAUUUUUAUUUAACACAUCUAUAUUGAAGUUGUUGUUGGCCCAAUAAGUGAUAUCAAAGCUUCCGAUGACAUAACAAAUAUUUGUUGGGAAAAUUGAAACACCUAAAUACAAAAAGAAAAAAAAAAAGUGAAAAAAAAAAAAGACAAAAUAUUUACCUAGUUCAAGAUAAUCGCCUACAUCCAUGGGAAAGAAAGAUCAAAUUAAUUAAUAAACUUUACACACUUCAAACUCUCUCGACCUUUCUUUAUCAAAAACUCAUACAACUUUUGACUAUCUCUAUUCACUCCUUGCUCACUUUUUCCUUCUAUUUUAAAAUAAUAUAUAAAACCACAUAUCUAUAAAGUCCUAAUCUUGAUCAAGCUUAAAAGGGUAUUUUACCCAAAUACAAACUCUACAAAUAUUAAAUUUUCUCAAAAUAAAUAUAUAACUAAAUAAAUUGAGUCUAUAUAUAUUAAAAGACUUUUUUUUCUUCUAAACCCAAGAGACCAAGUCCCCCGAAAGGAGUAGAUAUCAUUUUAUUGAAUUUUCAUGGGCCAAACAUAACUUGCUUGUACAGGAAGGUAGAAAAUUUAUGACAAUGAAGAAUUUUCCACAUUUCUUUUCAUUGAAUUCCACAUCCAUAACAAAUGAAGACAUUUUUGUCAUGUCAUGUUAAGGUAAAUUUAAGGAUAUUAUUUUCUUCAUUCAUUUAUUCAAGGUUUAUGCUGUGUCUACCAAGGUGACCAUUUUUUCUUCAAUUUUCUGUCAUGUCCUGCUACCUUAUCAAGAAAAUUUUGCAUUAGCAUGACUUUGACUCUAUGUUUGGGUCAUCUGGAUUGGGGCCUUGUAAUCGCUUGUGACUCAAAAAAUACAAAAAUAAAGACUUAGAAACUCAUGUCAACAAAUUUUAACAAACCACUCCAUAAUAUAUGAAAUUUCUUAAAAAUUGUAUUUUUGUAAUAAUAGUUCUAAGCUUUUUUCCCCUUUAUUUUAAGAAACAUUUGAAAGUGUCAAUUGCAUUUUAAAUUUUGCAGGACUUUGAUGAGUAUUUGUAAAUAAUAGAUAUUUUAUAUAUUUGAAUUUUUAUUGAAAAUAAAUUUAUUUUGGUAAAAGGAAUUUUACACUAGUAAUUCAUUUCCUCACAUGGAAGUGCUAGAAAAAAUUUAAAAAUUACCUAAUCCAUAUGGUGCUUUUACAAAGUAUAUAUGAUUUAGUUGUACUUCAAUGAAUCAAUUGCUUUGGAUUAAUUAAUUUUCAACCAACUGAAUUAUACAUUUAGAUAUAAUGUAAUUUGGGUAACUAACAUUUAAUAGCUUCAUAAUUUCUUUAUUUAAAUCUUAUAAAUUAUAUAUAUAUAUAUAUAUAUAUAUAAACUUAUUAUAAACAAGUUGGAAGCAUAUGCUCAUUCAAGCCUUCAUUUUUCCUUUUCGAUUUGCUAUAAAGUUGAUUUUCUUUCCUAAAGAAUUAAAUAUUUUAGAAAAUUUUGAAAAGAAAUAAAAGAAGUUAUAAAUUAAAACCACAAUAAAAAAUAAUAAGAAAAAUAAAAUAAUAAAAAAACAAAAACAAAAAACACGUAAAACAUGUAAAACACGAGUUAUGUAGUUUGCCCUAAAGCCUACAUUCACAAACUUAACAAAGAUAAAAAUGAACUUUUACUAUUAUUUAAAAAGAUUAUAAUCCUAUAACUCUUAAAUCCUAAAGUCUAAAUUAAUUAUACCUAGAAAAAUAUUUUUUUCUUAUUAUCUAAAAUGUUUUCUCAUAUUUUCUUGAUUAUAUUGGAAUAUUUAAUAUAAGGAAUUAAUUGUCUAAUUAUGAGAGAUACCUAAGAUAUUUUCAUUAUAAUUUGCAUGAAAAAGCCCUAUAAUAUUAUACUAUAAAUGUAAAAAUCCACAAUAAUAAAUCAUAUUAAAAGCCUCACUACAUCCAUAACAUCAAUUUUUGAAAUUAUUUUAAAAUAUAUACAAAAUCGAACUUCCAAUCGCAUCAAACAAACUCGUAAAUAUUUCUCUCUCCUACCUUCUUAAAAUUUUUGGUCUACGCUUGUCACCAUGUCAAGUCAAAAUCAUGUUUAAUUUUUAGCCAAACAGAAAAAGACUUGACCCACUAUCUUCACUUAAACGUUAAGUUUUAAUGGAGACAGAUGAAUUAUGGGCUACAGAACAUAUUUCUUCAUCUUGAUGAGUUGUAGGUCAUGAACCAAGUUGCUUGAAAAGGAUGGUAGAGGACUGACAUAUUUCCUCACAAGAGCCCUAUAAUAUUAUAUCUUGAUGACUUCCAGCAAGUCAAUACCACUUUCCCCACAAGAAGUCUUCAAUGGGUCGAAAUUCAAAAUAAAUGAUUCAUCUAAUGUGAUGGAAAUAAGAAUAAUUUGCAUGCAUUUCUUUUACUUUAUUUAUUUGGCAUAUCAUAACUCAAACUGUUUUUUUUUUUUUUUUUUUUUAUCAACUUACUGUUGUACUAUUCAUUUAGUUUAUCUUAUACAAAUAUAUACACUAAAUAUAAUAAUUUCAUAAAUAAAAAAGUCACCACCCAAAAUAUAUAAAAAAAAUUAAUGUUUAUUUCUAAUUUAUUUUUAAUUUAUAUUAUCAAAAUUGCUAAGCUUUGGAAAAUUUGAUUAAAUUACAAAGUCAAAAAACUAUUGAAAAAAUCUAAUUACAAAAAAUAUUAAAAAUAAAUUCCAAGGGAUAUAAAGACAAAUAAAAAAAAGAAAAAAAAAUGAGGACUUUUCCUAAAUUGUCGAAAUCCAAAACUCAAAUCUCAAUUUUUUGCAUCAAACAUUAACAAAAGUUAGUUUUUAUUACUUAUUAAUGUAAAACUUGAUUAACAUAUUGUAAAAAUAAAAAGAAAAAUAGUUGUUAAAGUAAAUUUGUAAAAGUAUAUUGAAAAUAAAACAAACUCUCUCUACACUCCUACUUCAUCUAAAUUCUUGAAACCCCUGGUUUCUCUACGAUCUUUGCAAAUAUAAAGCUAAUCAUCUCUCCGAAUCCAUGACAGACAAAGACUUUAACUAAACAGUUCAACUCCCCAUUUGUGCUAUGCAAUUUUAUUUGCUUAUGUUCUAAAGGGUCGUAUUUGGUUAUUGAGUUUUUUUUGUUUGGUGGAUAAGAAAACAAAAAGAUGGUUAAAAAAUUGAAAUUUAAGGACCAUUAAAGAAUCAAAUUUAUGUAAAUUAGGUGUAACUGUUGGUUAAAAAAGAUGGCAUUGCCUACUAUAUAAUGACUCCUUUAAACAAGUCUCACAUCAAGCAUCUUCUCGGGGUAUGCUUUUAGAAUACAGUUAACGUAUUUUUAGUUGUUUUUGUACAAUGUUGUGAGCAUUGAUUAAAAAGAUGAAACGAAAAUUUUUACAUUGUACUUAAGUGUCCAAUACUUCGAUGAAAAAUAAGUUAAGAAAAAUAAUUUUCACAGCAGAAUUUUGUUUCUAAAAAUAAUUAUCAAUUAUUUUUAAGAACGUAGAAUUGUUUUCAAAUACAUUGUUAAAUAGACCCUAAUUUUUUUACCUUUUAAGCAAAGUCAUACUCAAUAACCAAUAAUGACUUGUUCAUUUUUUUAGCACCCUUUCUUCUUCCAUUAUUUCAACAUUUUCAGCCUCCUUGCCUUGCUUCAUUUAACAUCCCCUCCUCUUCAUAUCGAUAUAUUGCUCUUUCUACUGCUUCUUUUUAACCAUAUUCUUGUACUGAUUUAACUUACACUCCCCCCUCUUCAAUUAUUACUUCUUCUAGCACUACAUUAGUUUCAUUAUCUAUCAAUCUUUCAAUAAUUUCAAGUGUCGGUUCCUUAUAAACACAUUGGUAUUUGACUCUAAUUUUUUAUUUUUUAUUUUUAGGAGAGUCAAUAUUUGUAUAGUUUGUGUUUGGGCAAAUUAUGGUUUUGAAUUUGACUAGAAUUAGGAAACUAUUAGUUUAGGGUUUAGCCAAUAGAAAUUUAUAAAUAUGUGAUUCUACAUGAGAUUUCCACAAAAGAGCAAAAAAAAGUGAGCAAAGAAUGGAGAGAGAUGGUGUAUUAGAUUUUGUGUAAAGAGAGGUUAAGAGAGUUUGAGUUUGUAUUUUUGAAAUUUAUUAAUAAAUUUGAUCUCCCUUUCUAGUGGACCUAGGCGAUUAAGUCGAAUUGUAUAAGAGAGUGUUGUGAUUUUCCUAACAAUUGUAUCGAAGCUUUCAUUUUCUUAAAAAGUGAUAUCAAAGCUCCUAUUUUCCCAACAAGCUAACAUCAAAACUUUUGUUUUCUCAACAAGUAGUAUAUGAUAAACAUCAAAAGUCUUCACCAGAAUAGCAACUGAUUUGUUAGAUAGUUACCCUUAGUUAGAUAGGUUGUUGAACCAAUAGUUUGUUAAAUCAUUUUUUAAAUAGCUUGUAUAAAUAGCUUGAUAACAAAAGUUCUUGGAGCGUUCUUCUUGGUUGAUAAUCUUUUAUGGUAUUAAAGUCGAGUUUUUCCCUUUCAUCAUUUCUAGAUUUGCUUUCUUCCUUCUUGUUGGCCUGAUUAUAGUCGUUCUCUUCUCUCAAAGAACACACACCAUCAUAGGGCUACUUUAACCUAAUUUUCCAAUCCAUAAAACACUUUGGACAUAACUUCCUCACAAUCUCUUAGCUUGAUUCAACUGUUGCAUAUGUUGAAUCAUCCUCUUCCUAUCAAACUAAAUAGGAGUAGUUACAUUAUCUAGUGGAGAAUAUGAUCUUUGACAAUGGGUUUGAACUUGGCGACAUUUUUAUUGCAUCAUCCUGAGUUGGAUCUACACUUUCCUUACUCCCGAAAUUAUGGGACAAAUAAUUGGAUAUCAUACUUCUCAUGCAACAUGGACUGCUCUAGAGAAGAUCUCCACCUCAUCAAAAGCAUAAGCAAUGUAGCUUCAGUUAGAAUUUCAAACAACUUGGAAAGGCUCCCUCCAUGAUGGAAUACAUACUCAAGUUGAAGAUGCUCAUUGAUUAACCUUGCUACCAUUGGAGAGUAGGUAUAAAAAAGAAACCAAAUCUUGAAACUUCUUGGUGACCUUGAAACAGAUUACAACUCCAUAGUUGCAUCCCUUAUAGCUCGUGAAGAUGAUAUACCCCUGCAUUAGUUUACAACAUUUUACUCACCUCUGAACAAACACUCAACUUUUGGAGUUUAGUAAUAGAAAACGAAGUUAUCUCCACUCAUAUAGCCACACAAGGACAAUUUGCUCACCCAAGAAGAUACCAAAAUGGGGAAACUAACUCCAAUUUCAGCAACCAAAUUAGCUCCCACCAUCAUCAAGGAAGAGGAUGUUCAGGUGGCCAUGGGCAAGAUCAUUGAACAAAUCUUAGUGGCAAUGGUACUAAACCUCAAUGCCAACUUUGUGGAAAAAUCAUAGGUUUGAUAUAAAUUUUCAAGGACCUAAUCCCUUGCCUAUAAACCUUCAUCAAGCACUCCUAAUAGCAAUGAUAUACAAAUGAUGAUGGUCUUUCCUUUAAUCUACAAUAUCUUGGUUUCUUGACAAUAUUAGCCUAAACCCUAAAUCCCUAAACCCUAAACCCCAAACCCUAAAACCCUAAGCCUUAAACUCUAAAACCCUAAACCCUAAACCCUAAACCCUAAACCCUAAACCCUAAAUCUUAAACCUAAACCUUGAAACCCUAAACCCUAAACCCUAAAUCCUAAACCCUGAAAUCCUAAACCUUAAACCAUAAACCUUAAACCUUAAACCCUAAACCCUAAACCUUAAACUCUUAAACAGUAAACCGUAAAACCCUAAACCUUAAACCAUCAAUCCUAAACCCGAAAACCCUAAACCCUAAACCUUAUACUCUAAAACCCUAAACCCUAAAACCCUAAAUCCUAAACCCUAAACCCCAAGCCCUAAAACCUAAACCCUAAAAUCCUAAACCUAAAUACUUAAACCCUAAACCCUAAACUCUAAAACCCUAAACCCUAAAACCAUAUACCCUAAACCCCAAAACCUUAAACCUAAAAUCUUAAACCCUAAACCCUGAAACCCUAAACCCUAAACCAUAAACUCUAAACCCUGAAACCCUAAACCCUAAACCCUUAAACCCUAAAUUGUAAAACCCUAAACCCUAAACCAUCAAUCCUAAACCCGAAAACCCUAAACCCUAAACCCUAAAACCCUAAACCCUAGGGCGACACACCAUCUCUCCCUAAGUGAUAAUACUCUCAUAAACACUCAUCCAUACCACGACAAUUGCAAAGUCAUAGUUGGAAAUGGCAAGAAAUUAUCCGUCUCACAUGUUGGCUCCAAGUCAUUUCAAACUCCUCACAAGUCCUUUUAGUUACGAAGCAUUCUUCAUUUUGCUACAAAUCUUAUUAGUGUUUCUAAAUUUUGCACUAACAACAAUUUAUUUUUGGAAUUUCAUCCUACUUUAUUUCUUAUUAAAUACUGGAAUACAAAGAAGAUUCUUCUUCAAGGAAACAUUGAGCAUAGCUUGUACAAAUUCCCCAAUAACCACAUUGGUACGUCUUUAACAUCCUUUCAUUCUAGGCACUUAGCUCUCAUUAGAUAAUAAAAUAAGAAUGAGCUAAUCAACUGAUGAAUUCAACAACCAUCUUAUUAAAGAAUAUAUACAAUUACCCAAAUAGUGUGAUGGUCAGAUAGGACAGUCUAAUGGAAGAUGGUGACAACCUCUCUUUUCUUAACAUAAAGCAUAAUAAUUCCAAGUCCAGGAUACUUUUCUUCUAAUAAAGUGCUUGCUUUAAACUUUCCUUUUGAUAAUGUUUUUGCUUUAAAGUUUAGUUAUUUUUAGAGUCAUGUGGUCUUGUCCUCUUAUACAAAAUCUUUUUCUUACCCAAUUACAAAAAAUGAUAUGAGAUAAUGAAUUAAGAAUGAACUAAUCCAAUUAUGGAUCAACAACCAUUUUAUUAUAUAUAUAUAUAUAUAUAUAUAUAUAUAUAUAUAUAUAUAUAUAUAUAUAUAUAUAUAACCAAUUCUAAUCACCUAAUUACCUAGAUAAUGUGAGAGUUAUAGCAAAAGUAAUUCAUUUAAUGUUAAACUUGAUUGACAAUUAAUAAUCCUUCUAUAAAUUACCUUUUAAAUUAGUUAUAUAUUAAUUAACAUAUUUUUCUAUCUUAAUUUAUAAAAAGCUACUUAAUCAAUUUCACUAACUCCACCUAAAAAAAUACUAUUUUAAGUUACAAGAGAGUUUGAAUUAAUGAUUAUCAAUUCUUUUAUAUUUCAUCCAAGUUGUUGAGUCAUUACAUCUAGCCCCCUACAAGAUUGAAUGAUCUUAGAAUUAGUAUUUGAUUAUGAAUUAAAUAUUUUUAAAUUUGAUUCUUAAAAAUUUGCUCUAUUAAGCUAAUAAUUUGAUCAAAACUAUAAGGAAGUUGGGUUAAGACUAUAAUAUUUCACUUAAGUGGUUCCUCCUCUAGACUGAAGUGGAAUAACUUUCUAUUUGUUAGGAGAUCAAAGAAUUUGAUUAAGAUUUAAGAAUCCAAACUUCCAAUUGAUAGAGAUUCUACAGGAGUCCUAGUUUUAGGUAAAUAAGAAAGGGAGAGUUUCAUGAAAGUCUGACAGUUGGUUGCACCAAAUUUUUGGUAUUGUUUUAGAUUUAUAAGGUUGUUCUAUUGGAUUCAUCAAACCAUUGUGUAGAUCUACUAACAAAAGGGAGAGCCAAUUGAUCUCUUUAAUUUGUUGGAUAUUUCUACCUUUUAAAUUUUGAGUCCAUAGUUGGUAAAUAAUAGUUGUGCAUUUCCACCAAUAUUUAGAUUUUUUUAUUUUUCUUUUUUAACUUUUGAUCAAAGUUAUGUAGUGGUUGUAUUUUUUGGCAAGAUCUCUUAUGCAUGAGUAAUCCAACUUCGGUGAUAUUUUAAGUUACCAACCAUGCUAAAAUCUUCAAAGGACUCAAUGUUGAGGUGUAUUGGCUAUAAGGGAUUGAGAAUAAAGGUAAAAUGCCAUGUGGAAGAGAUGAAUCAAAUCCUAACAAAAGUGGGAUUUGAUUUAUAUGAGAAUAAAUUUUGUAUUCUAUACUCAUUCCAAAAAAUAAUAUAUUCAAAUAUAAAAUGAAUGGAAAAUGAAAUAAAUUUUUCAAAAGAGUGGUAUCUUGAUGGACUAGAGUUCUUUGUUUCAUAAAUUUUUUCUUUCACAAGUUGCCAACAACAAAUGCAAGCCAUCGGCUAGCCUUAUACAGUCUAAGUAAGGUUUUGGCUCGUUCGAGGGUUGACUCGAUCAAGAAUAAUCAACCUAGUAGUUAGAUCAAUUAACCAAUUGAACCAAUUGGGUUUGGAAUGAGUGUUGAUUGUUUUUCCUAUAACUUCAAAAUAACAUAUCAUUUUGCUCCCAUCCUAGACCCAAAAGUUGAAAUUUAGAUAAAAUUUUGGGAAAAGUCCAAAUAAAUAGAGAUGAUGUUGGAAUAAUGAUAAAUUUUAAUUUUUAUAUUUAUAUCUAGUUAUUUAAUUAUUUUAUAUUAUUUAAAAAAAAUUCUUAUUCAAUAACCAAUUCAACUUUAAAAACAUUGAUAUGUACACCUCCAUGAUUUUGAUAUUCAAUGGAGUUUAUUUUAUUCUUGUUGCCACUUUUGCCAUCAAGUAGGAUUCUUAUGAGAAAACAUUUUUGGAUUGACUUUUGAAAAUUAGUUAUGGUUUUAAGUCUAAUAAGAAAACAUGUUCAAUUAAUUUUAGAAGAAAUAUGUAGGAUCUUUCUAAAAAAAAGUACUAUUCGAUACCAUAGCGAAAAGCACCAUCCUAUUAGAGACAAGAAAGUCUUAUUCCUUUAUACCAUAAAUGAACCAAAAAAAAGUCUUAUUGCUUUGUGUCUUAAAAAUAAUCUCUUUUUUCUUUUCUAAAUCAAAGUCUCAUUUUUUAUUUUUUUAUUUUUUACCUUCAUCAUCGAAAAUUCCCAUACCAUUCAAUACUUUAGCAUUUUGAAAGCAAAGACAAAUGCUUUCCAUAAGAAGCCUCUUCUAAAAAUUUACCUAAAUAUUUUUUCCUCAAUACUUUCUAUAACCUAAACCAAGCCUUUAGGUUUUGAAUUCUAUAGACCCUAACAAAGGAAUAAAAUUUUCCCUCAUGGUUCCUAUGAUUCAUAUUGAGUCUUAGGUUUUCAAUUUCUAAAAAUCCUAAUGAGGGAAAAAAGUUUUGAAUUAGAAGGGGUUUAAAUUUCCUAAAAACCCUAAUGAGGGAACAAAGUGUCAAGCUAGAAAGGAAGAAACUUGUUCCCUUGUUCUUUCUAUGACCUAAACCAAGCUUUUGAGUUUCAAUUUCCAAAAGCCAUGAGGGAACACGGUUUUCCCCCAUAGUUUCUAUGAUCCAAAUUGAACUUUGUGGUUUCAAUUUCCAGAAACCCUAAUAAGAAAACAAUGUAUCAAGUUGGAAAUGAAGAAAGCUUGUUCUCUCACUUUCUACUAUACAAACUAAAUCUUAGGCUAUGUUCAGUUCUUAAAAUAUGUCAAAAAAAUGUUUAAAAAAAAUUAUUUUCUCAUGGUUGAUUGUAUCGUGGAAAAUACUCAAAGAAAGAUUAAAUAUAAUUAAUUAAAAACUUAUGCAUCUUUUAAUCAUUUAAUUUUUAUGAGUUUGAAAUAACAUAUAAAAAUCAUUUAUUAAUUUUAAAUUUAUUUUGUUAUUUUCUUUCACGUUUUUUUUUCUUCUACACUUUUUUUUUCCUUCAAAGAACCAAACAUAACCUUUAGGUUUCAAAUUUUAGAAACUUUAACAAGGAAAUAAAGUUUUCCCUCGGUUUCUAAUUUCUAUGAUCCAAACCAACUCUCUAGAUUUUGAUUCCUAAAACCACAAUGACCGAACAAAAUGUGAAGUUGAAAAGGGAAGAAACUUUAUUACUUCGAACUCUUUAUGACCGGAACCAAACAUUCGGUUUUCCUUUCCUAAAAACCCUUAUGAGUGAUACAAAGAUUUGAAUCCUCAAGUUUUUUGGAAACAAACAUAACCUUAGAGUUUCAAAUUUUAAAAACCUAUACGAGGGAACAAAGGUUUCCCUCAUAGUUCCUAAUUUCCAUGAUCCAAACCAACUCUCAAGAAAAUGACGAGUUGAAAGGGAAGAAACUUCAUUAUUUCGUACUGCCCAUGACCAGAACCAAACCUUCGGUUUCCAUUUACAAAAGACCUAAUGAGAGCGAGCCUUAGGAUUUCAAUUUCCAAAUAUCCUAAUGAGGGAACAAAGUGUAAAGUUGGAAAGGGCUCUCUCAUCCAACAAUUUUAAAUGCCAAGGCAGGCAAAGAAAACUAUCAUUUAAUUGCGAAGAAACAAGGAGUACAAGAGAGCACACACGGUUCAAGCCAAGCCUUCUUCAAUUACAAUAUCUAGCCCAUCUGAGCAUGCUCCUAUAUGAGCUUUAACGACUGAAUCCUAUUGCGUUAAAAGAGUAAUAAAUCCUUUAAUAACCGCCCAAAAACAUGAGAAUUACACACGGUAUCAGAAAAUCAGAUGAAAUUGUAUAACUCAUCCGAAUAAACCCCUUCAAAUAAUAAAACUAAGCAAAAUAGUCUAUACCCUAUGUUACAUACCGAUGGCUUUCAUAAUAAAGGGCACUGUAGCUUUACUAGAAUACAACAUUCUCACAAGCCCAGAUUGAGUGGAACUAGGGCCAACAUUAUUGAGCUGAAUGUAGGAGGCCCUUGGUUGAUUUUCAAAAGCUAUGGUAUUGAACUCCUAGGCUCUUCACCUAAUUAGAGCCUGAAAAUUUGGAAAGGGGUUCCGCCAAAAAAAUUUCUAAAAGAGGAAAAGAAUCCUAAUCAUCAACUCACCGACCUUCCUUCCUGCCAUGCAACCUAUAGAAUUGUCAUGACGAGUCAUGAUUCCUAUUGGGUGGGCUUCGGUGUUGAAAACCCACUCAUCUAAUGAAAUGACUGACGAAGGUGAGAAAAGAAGAUAGAGAUAUUUGAGUGUCUCAGCAAGGAAGAAGCUUUGCAUCAUAUUGUCUUUGACGUCUCUAUUUACCUGUGAAUACCCAGAACCAGCAGAGUAAGCAAAGAGCACAGAUGUAGCAGUAAACAAAAGAAAGUAACAAUGAAAGAAAAUGAUAACCAGCACAGCCAAGAGUGUUUAGGAUUAGAUAAAAUACAUAAUCAGUGAGCACAUUUAUUUCAGUGUAAAACCACCACACCUGCUGGGCUGGCAACUGUCAUUCAUGAUUGAAACUUAUCUAGUAAUAAUAGAUAACUUCUAAAUAGGUUUUUCAUAUUAAUAAAAAUUAUAAAAACUCACUCAAUCUACAAAUAUUCUAAGAUUUCAUUGUGUUAUUUGUUCAGGGUAACAAGUAAUGAGAGAUAUGUUCUAAGAUUUCAGGAAUCAAAGUUCAAAAGUAAAUACUAAAAAUGCAAAUCAGCCAGUCUGAAGUAGGGAUUAGUGAGUUUGAAGAGUGUACUUACAUCCUUCAGUCCAACAUAUCCUGACUCUAUGCGGGAGUUCUUUUCAAAUGCUUGAAAUAUGUUCCAACCCCACUCUUGGUAUGUCUUGCUGCCAGUUAAACGCCAGAGGUAAAACAGUGAUUCAACUGUCUCGGGCCUCAAUAUGUUCCAUGAUGUACCCACACUCAUAUCCUGUAAAUGUUUUAGAUGGAAAUGAGAUUGAGCAGUAAAAGAAAUAACUAGUAUAUAAAAAGAAAAGAGAAAAACUAACCUGCCCAGAGUGGAAGAAAUAGUUCUCUCCAGCCAAUUUUGUUGGUGUUGACUGGUAGAAAUUAUAGCAUGUCCAGGCAAGCUGCAAAAAAUAGGCCAAGCAAUUCACUCAUAGGAACCACAUGAAAAGCAUCCAAAUGCUGGAAAAGUAAGAGAAAACUCAGGGAGGGCAGAAGGAAUCAUUACAAUUCCUUCCCUUAGAACUGCGUGUGAAAUUUUCAUCUCAUAUGGCUCUUUCAUUAUAUGCAAAAUGAUAAUAUUACAUGGAAUAAAUAAAAAAUUGAAAUACUAUCAUUAUAAACCGGGUACGGCUUGUGAUUUUACAAGAAGCCUCUAGCUUAUGAAGUUCUUAAUGUCAUGGGAACAUCAAAAAAAUCAGUGGCUAGUGCUAAUGGAGACCAAAAAAAUGCUGCAAUGGCAAAUAUGUUCAAGGAGCUAAACAACUACUAAAGCUUAAGCUCUAGAUGGGUAUUAAAGCUUAAGGUCAAAACAUUUUCCUAUCAAGCACAAAAUAUCAGAAAUGGUAUGAAGAGAAUUUAAAAAUACCUCUUCGGCAAGGGAUAGGAAUUUCUGAGAUUCUUCAGGACCAUAACCAAGUGAUCCUAAAGCAAUCAUUCCUGGGGCAAAGCAUGCUAAUCCAUCCAUCUGCACAUAUAUAGAAAAAACAAAUAGCACCAAAAUGCUAAUGGUCAAAUAUUAGUGCAGUAGAACAAAUGAGUAUUUUGGUAUCAAAUAUUACCUUGUCAUGCAGAGAAUCCCCAUUUUUCUCACAUAUAUAUGUGAAAGAUGAUGAUGUUGUUCUUCGGACCAAGCUUAACAGACCUUUCAUAGAUGUCUCCCACAUUUCUCUGCUUCCAACAAACCAAUAAAAGAAUUUUGAUAUCAAUAGAUUCUAUGAAGGAAAGACUGUCGACAUUUUUUAGACAUUGGAUAUUUAAAAGAAAAUCUGUGAGUUGAAUUAAAAUAAAAAGUAUGCACCUUUUCCCAAAGAAAUGAGCAAAUGAAAAGAUUAAAAAAUAAUAAGGAACAAAGGCUAAUCAGACUUGUUAGUCAAUCUAAGGUUCUAGUUAAAUGCAUCCACCAAAUUCCUCUUAUUCUAGUUAUUGAAAAGCUAAGGGCCUUUCACAACUGACAAGACCCAAUAUAUGACAAAAAAAAUGUUCCCUCUGAAAAUAAAUUAAAAAAAAGCCCAUGCAAGAGGCUUCCCUUGGACUCACUAAAAGUGUAAAGUUGUCUACUUCAUAUCAAGCCCAAACAAAGCCUCAAAGAAAGCAUGGAAAAAGACACUCCCAUGUUCCCACAUAGCUCUCUUACUUCCCAUCUGGCCCCCAAGGGAGCACACAUCCAAAUUAAGCCCAAGACUCCAAGUAGGAGUAGUUCAUUGCAGUGUUAGCUGUGUUAAGGUUCCUCCAAAAACCAAUAUCCCAGGAGGGAAAUUAUUUAAGAGAAUAAAGUUUAGCUUUACGACACUUCUAAAGGCUGAUUUUCCACUAGAGUUUCACCCAUGACCAAAUUUUAGAGCCACUGCUAGCAACAAACCUCACAAUAGAAAAGAGCAAAAGAAGAUCUUGGGAAUUGAAUUUUCCCUGCAAUGUCAACUUUUAACAACAUGCCAAGUUAAAUUCCACUUCAGGAAUCUCCAAAUCCCUCUUCCAAUGGGAGCUCAGUUUCACAGAGUCCUCAAAAGCAUACACCUUCUUUCCUAGGUGUAGACACCACCUCCCACCUAUUGGGGGUUCUCAAACUAGCAUCCUUGGGCCAAACCAAAAAGAAACUCAGUUUUCUUAAUAAUAGAGGCAACCUUAACAGGAAACACAUUUUUUGUUUUUUGUUUUUUUUUUUUUUGUGUUCAUUUGCUUUAAUAGCAUGAAAUAAAUUGGGAUGUAAACAAAGUAGGACAGAGGAACAGUAAAUCCUAUCCCAUAAAGAAAGGACCAUUCUCUUCUGUACAUCCAGAGGACCUCCACAACAGGAUCCUAGAAUUCUAGGAUUCAAGGGCCAUUCACUAGUACCGCAACUAAUUAAUUAUACCAAAGUAGCUCAUUUCCCAUUAAAAACAAUUCAUUUUAAUUAGUCAAACAGGAAAAAGGAAGGAACGAGGAUCAUGUCAUUCAAUAAGAUGCCAGAUAUCGCAAAUAAACAAUAUUGGCCCAUAGUAGUUCAAGAGAAACUGUCUGACAGUCAAAAUCACAAUCAUCAUGUGGUAUUGAUAAACACAUGCCCUAUGUAGCACACAAAUGAUAUUUCACCAGAAUUCAAUGGGAGAUGUAGGGAUUCACCUAUAAUGCUUCACAUCAGCAGUUUUAUUUCCUUGUAUCCAAACUUUGAGUAAAUAUUCAUAAAAGCUGCAAUCAAGUUUUUCAAGUUAAUCACCAAUGUCAAUCAAACUAACAAAAUUAUGCACAUAGUUCAGCUCCUCCAUCAGGGAGAUAGAUAAAGUAGUAGAAUUCCUAUGACAUAAUGAGACCCAGAUCUCAAGAAAGAUAUCACAAAUCGUACAGAAAUAUUAAAUGGUCAUACCUGUCACCCAUGGCUCCAAAGGUUAUGGUCGAAUAAGAUGAUGUUCCUCUAUGAGGAUUAAUAUAUAUGGGAAGCAAACCAUCAGCAGGAAAUGUUUUAUUAAGCUCAAUGAUAACAUUCUCAACCUGAAACAUCAGAAUUCAAUGCCAGCAAAUUAAACCUCCCGAGAAAAUGCUUGUUUCGUUGGAAGCAGAAGUUAAUGACCAAUGUCUUCUGACUCUAGUUUCUUUACCAAAAAAUUUAAACUUUGUAUGGAGAAGAUGAUAACUAACUGAAGUUGCUUAGUCUUAGGAUUUAAUCCUAGUCAAUACAACAAGAUAGUAAUUGACAUUACUUUAGAUAAUUGUCAAAGGUCAUCUGCAUUUUAAGACACAUGAAAACAAUUCCUUUUUUGGUGUGUGCACAUAUAAGCAUAAGAGGAAUAUACCUUUUUCUGAUACUUUGGAUCACCAGUCCUUUGAGAAAGGGCAAUAAACUCCAGCUGCUCUGUGCCGGAAUCGGCUAGGAUACUGUCACCCUAGGAACAAGGAAAAUUAUACAUUUUAAAAAACAAUGAAAUCAAUUACCAUGGAUAUAUGUUUGAUUUUUUUUUUUUUUCCAUUUCAUGUAUUUAUUAAUUUAUUUGUGGACAUUAAAUCAUUAGCAUGAAACAAUUCAAAAAAGAAAGAGAAAUUGCACCUAAAACAACAGAAAGAGAUUUAGGCAUUAGGAUUCAAUGGUUUUAGAGACUAAGAUGGACUUCUGCAAAUAAUUCAUGUAUUUAUUAAUUUAUUUGUGGACAUUAAAUCAUUAGUAUGAAACCAUUCAAACAAGAAAGAGAAAUUGCACCUAAAACAACAGAAAGCGAUUUAGGCAGUAGAAUGCAAUGGUUUUAGAGACUAAGAUGGACUUCUGCACAUAAUUAAGAACACCGGGUUUCAGAUGCAUCUUAACAUUGUUGUCAGAGGAUAGGAAGCUAGAAAAAGAAAUAUAGUUAAUUAAGGCCCUGUUUAGAUUCACUUCCUCAAAGCAAAAGCCUUUUUUUUUUUUUCCUUUUGAAAGCUCCAUAAGAGCUUAUGUAUGGUUUUUUUAUAAUUUCAGGGUAAGAUUUUUUUGGCAUAAAAAAGAGACUAACAGGGAAGCAAGGACCAUGUAGGUUCCAGUGGAAGCCCUUUCUUGGUUUAUAUGAUAAGCUGUUACAUGUUUAUUCAAACUUUUAAUAAUACCAAGAUUCCUCCUUUAAAAUCAUGAUUUUAGCUUCAACUUAAGCAUCUAACAGAAGUCAAAAGCAAGAAGUGAUCUGAAACAGACCUAAGCUAUGUAGCAGUAGCUUGGACAAUUUUAAAAAGGAUCCAUGACCAUUUCAAACACCAUGUCAUACACAUCAGUAGAAAUCUUAGAAUAUUACCAUUUUUCCUUUUUUCUCUUUAUAUAGUUUUUUAAAGAAUAAAUAGAAGAAGAAUAAAGAAAGAAAAAGACACACCUAUUGAAUCUUGGAAAGCACUAAGAGGAUCUGUUUGUGUGUGAUCCAUUAGUCUUGGCUUGAUAGUUGUUGCUAGAAGUUUCCAUGAAAUAUUGUUAACUUAUGAGUGGAGGAUAAUGGUCAAGGCCAUUGAAAUCCAUAUUUGCUUAAGAGCUUGAUUGGAAAUUGGAGUUGGUGGGAUAGCCUUUGCAGCCAAUCCAAUCCAGAGUUGUUUGUAGUGGCUGGAAGGUAUAUUUGUUUGGCUGAUUCAUAUGAUGUCGCAGUAUGGAAAAAGAUGCUUAUAAAUUUUUUUUUUUUUUUUGAUAGGUAAAAGCAUAACCUUAUAACCAAUUGCCUUGAGGAAUAGUUAGAAUUCAGUUAACAGGUGUUGUGCACACAGAAAACGAAGAGGAAUCAGUGUAUAGUGAUUUGGUGUAGAGGAUGACCCUUUAUGUUUGAUUUGGUGUAUCUGGGGAGAGCAGAUUAGCUGAGUUUUUAAAGAUACAGUGUAUAGUGAUCGCUUUCAGAAUUUAUUUCCUCAAAUCUUGUUUGAAUGGUCAAGAGAUCCUGUGGAUGAAGCCAAUAUUUCUUUUCUAGAGCCCACUGAUUGCUUGGGAGUGGGUUAAUUUGUGCUGUGGCUGUUUUUCUAGUCUUUCCAUUGCUGUUUUGGCAAUCUUUGUAUACUUUCUGGAUAUGUGUAUGAGGAUCGAUAGGCCCACAAAGGAUUAUGUUAACAAGUGCCUUACUCCCCAAGGCACCCAAUAAAUAAAAUAUAAUAGGGAAGAAAUUAAGGACACCCCAAAAUAUCAAGCCAUCAAAGAAAUCUGGAAAGGAUAGUCUCUCAUUCCCUAUAAAUCUUCUGGAUCACACAAGUAUAGGUUUCAUACAAACAUAUUUUUACUUGCAAUUCCAACAGCUCCAAAGCAUUGGAGAUCCUUCUAAUUUCAUUCCUUCCAUGAACAGAAAAAUAGGCAGAGGGGAAUAAUUUGCAAAAUUUCCUCCUCCCUUUGCAAACAGACCAUCCCUGCCAACUGGCUAAGGUGUCCUAAGCUAACUUAGGAAAUACCCAUGAAAUACUGAGGGAUCAAACAAAAGAGACCACAAACUUCAAGUUGUUCAAGGUAUCAAAAUGCAUAAACAAAUUAUUAUACCAACCCAUCCUAUUUGCAAACAGUACCAACUAGCGAUAAUCCCACUCCACUAGUAAAAAUGAACACAGGGAAUGGGUGAGAAUCCUUAAAUCUUUCUAUGCGGAAAACAGGCAAAGUUCCUGGCACAUGGCUUCACAGUGAUUUCACAUAGAAGCAAGUAGCAACCAUCUUCAGAUAACUUCCACUCGUUUAUCCUCCCCGCUUACACACUAUCUUGAAUAUGAGACAAGAACAAUUCUACCAUUUCUGACUCACAACUAUGAAAACUUCUAUAAACCUUCAUUUUUUAUAAUCCUGAUCACCUUCCGCAUUUCGAUGAUUUGCCACCAUGUUGUCUCAAUUAAUUGAAAUGUAUGACAGAUCUGGAAAACGAAGAAAGUUUUUCCCACACCAAAAUCUGACAUAGGAGAUAAAACAUCUCACCCUUUUCUAAGAGCAUUUCAUCACCCCACAACAGCAGCUACUCAUUUCCUCACCAAAUUUACAUUUAUGUGUGGAACACUCUCUAGUGUUCAUGUUCAUGCAAUCAUGCUACAUAUUUAGGUCAAAUAAGGAUUUCAGCAGAAGCCAAAUCACAUCAUGAUGUAUGCAAAAAUCCAACCAGUAGAAGAUCAAUUUUAGGUCAGCGUCAAACCAAGUCAAGUAAAAACUCCAGGUCAUUGUUGAGUAAGCAAGUAGCAGCAAUUACAUAGUGAAAAUGGUAAAUGCAUUCUAUUUUCCCUCAUGCCACACAACUAAGAAACAUAAUUUCCACACCUAAGCCCAAGACACAUUUUAUAACUUCACACAACUCAAAAUAGAAUAAUAAAUCAACAGAAGGCAAUAAUAAACAUAUAAAUAAAUAAAACAACUUUCCAAUAAAUAGUGACAAAAGAACAACCAGAAACCAGACACUUACUCCAGUCCAUCCAGGGUUAUGCGCAUUUCCAUGUGACAGUAUUUUUGCAGUAAACUGAGGCAUUGUCAAUGGUACUAUUGUGUUACUUUUAGAUAUAAAAAUAUGACUUGGGAAAGGAUUUACACCCUUUCCAUCUCUCUUCUAUUGUAUUUUAUUCUUUCUUCUCCUCUCUUCUCUGCAUCCAAAUCCUCAUAGCAUCUCCAACUCAGUAUCAAGUUGAUCCGGGUGUAAUCAUAUUAGAAACUUUAAAAUAGAAUUUAUCAAUAGCAAAUGACGGGAGAUGACAAUAAACUUCAUUUGUUGCAUCAUAAAAAUUAAAUUACUUAUUAAGACAUUUAUUUUUACAGUAGUUUAUGGAAUAAUAAAUUAGAAAAUUCUAAAAAUAUGUUACAAAGAUUCUUUUCUAGGCCAAAAACGAUUAAUUAGUAAGUACCUAACAAACGGAGGAGCAACCUAGGUGUAGUGGAAUACAAGGAUCACUCAAAACAUCAAAAUACAUGGAAACACUGCCUGCUCACUAGCCUGGGAUUAANNNNNNNNNNNNNNNNNNNNNNNNNNNNNNNNNNNNNNNNNNNNNNNNNNNNNNNNNNNNNNNNNNNNNNNNNNNNNNNNNNNNNNNNNNNNNNNNNNNNUAACAAAAUUUCAGCUCUAACUCCAAUUGCCCAAGACCAUACAAAUGAGGUUUCUAAGAUUUGUUUCCUUCUUAUGCCAGUAUAUAAAGAUUGCCUCCAUUUAGGGAAUUUCUUGCAAUUCAAUUUAUAAAUAUAGUCUUGCACAAGUAUAUUAGGAAUGCCUUCAUAUGAGAAUUUCUUGCAAUCCAAUUUACACAUAUACCAAAUUAGGCUAGACAGCCACCAGCCACCACCUCCCUCUAUAAAAUUCACAUAUUCUAAAGAUGAAAAUUCCCAAGUUGAGAAAAAUUGUCUCAUGAUUAUCUUUUAUGCGUUAGAACAUAGUUUUCUUCUUUUUGCUCAUGAAGACAUAUUUGCGCCUCUUGGAAUAUUCCAAGGGCCCAACCAACUAAUUUCUUGCUACAUCUUUCCCAUACACCUAAUCUCUUCUUCCCUAAAUUUCUGUAUUUCUUGCCAUUAUCUUUUCUUACUUCAAAUUUCUGUUCCCAUGGCCUUUCGGUAGCAUUAUUUUCUUGAAAUUUGCAUUCAUUCCAUCCAUGUCUCUGUUUCACUUAGUAAGGUGAACCCAACCUUCCUAUAGUUUUUCUCUUCAAUCUUCUUGGUUUCAUCACUUCCCAACUGUUCUCCAUUUCAAACUGUUUUUGCUUUUCCCACGACAGGAGCUUAUAUUGGACCUUGAACAUACCUGUACCUCUACCUGAAACCAAAAUAGAUAGGAGGGGAAAGAAUAUGUAAGAGUAUGACCUCAUUCUAAGGAAUUCAACAAAACAAACACAAAACUUUGUAAGAAGAGGUGCCUUCUCAUAAAGGGGAUUGCAGUGACCAGUUACCAAAAAAGGAAAGCUCUAUUUUCCAGGCUCUCCCAUAGUUGAUACUUUGGAACCACAAGAAUUCUUACUAAGAAUGAGAGAUCCUUUCUUUCUCAUCCUUUCUUUCAUCAAACAGGACAAAUAUAUAUAGAAUCAAACUGAACCCAAUAAAUGCCCAUUCAUGGAAGAAUAAGCUUCAACAGAUUGAAGACCUUCAAUUUCCCAUACAUCCACCUUUUUCAAGAACUAUCCCACUAGAAUCAUCCUUCUACUAGUGCUCUUUGCCCAUCUAAUAUCGAUUCUCUUCCUAUUCCCCAGAGUCAAACUGAUGUCUUAACUAAUCUCCCAAGUUUGGUGAAAAGCUCUGGUAAAUAUAAACAGGAACUGCGAAAAAGAGUGCUAAUAAAUCAAAAAAUAACUUUUCAAACAUUUAUAAUUAAUCAAAAACCAAACUAAAAAAAAUCAACUUACCUUCCCAUGGCUGCGUGUGUGAAUCUCUUCUCCAUUAUGAUGCGUCAAAAGUGACAGCGGCUUUUCUUAAGUCCAAUGUGCAGCUACUACCACUAUUGUAUGGUGUGUCCUAUGGAAAUCUUUUCAACUAUGUAUGGAAGUCUUUAUGUGGCUGUGUGUGGAGAAUGCUCUCCAGUGGAGUCCCGUGCAGCUGCUUGUUGUGGAAGAUGCUGCCCAAACUGUGGUGCGUGGUUGCCUCUUCUGUGUGUGCCUCUUGCAGCCGCGAUUGGUGGACUCCAACUUCUCCAAUGGUGUGCUGUGAUGCUUCUCGAAUUGAUGGUCCCUUUCCUUGGUGUGUGAUGCUAAGAGGGAUCUCUAAUGAUGCAGACUGUGUGGUUGGGAGGGUGGCUGUGAAGAAACUCGUAUUCGCGUGUAAGAGAAGGCCCCUCUUAUAAUGCGUGAUUGACUCCCUUAGCGGACUGUGCAUUCUUCCAAGAUGGACUGUCUCCCCUUUCAGGCUGCUGCGUGUUGGUGCUUCUCCAUGAAGAAUGCCGACUACAAUGAAACUUUAGUUUUGUAGUUCGACCAACUUCUAUAUGGUUAAUAAUUGCCUUUCCUCAUCAUUCAAACAGAAGAUAAGGUAACUUAACAUUAAAAAUGCAUUCUUGCAAAGAAACCUUGAGAGGGAUGUUUGCAUGGAGCAACCGUUGAGGUUCAUUGAUUCCACCAAGCAAGGCCAUGUUCUUACUUAAAAAGUCUUUCUAUAGAUUGAAGUAGGCACCUCAUUCUUGGUUCGAUCAACUGUCUUAAUAUCUACUACAACUUGCUUCUAUUAUAACAAAUUUAAUGCUUAAUUAACUCUUUGUCUAUCGCACCAAUGAUAUUACAACUAUUAUUCUCAUAUGCAUGGAUGAUGUUCUUCUCAUAGUGAGUAAUGAUGAUUUUGUUCAAAUUUUAAUUGAACGUCUUGGCUAAGAGUUUGAAUUAAGGAACUUGGAUCACUGAACAAUUUUCUUGGAGUAGAAGUGAAGCCUUUUUUCGAUGAUGUAUUCUUGUCUCAACAGAAGUAUAUGCGUGAUUUGCUUCACAAAAAGCAAAUGCCACUCAAAGACAAAGAAGACCUCUUUGGUUACAUGCAUAGAAUCAUUUUCAGAACUUCAUCUAUGAUUUGUUUAUGAUAUUUGUUUUUUCGAUGGAGCUAAAUGGCAAAAUAAGAUUAGUGCAGCCCCUAGUCCCUGUAGUAUGUUAGAGACCCUUAAAACUACUAAGCACUUUUAGAAUUGAUAUCCAAGUUUUAAAAACUUAUAGAAUUGAUCAAUAUGACAACUGGGCAAACGAUUGAUUGUUCUCAAGGUGAACAGUAGAGAAGAAUAUUCAUUAGCUUAAUUUUUUUUCAUAAAAAUUACCAUGAUUAAUAGAAAUAUAGGAUAAGUCAUCCAGGCUUACUGUCUUCAUGUGUGUCCAUCCAAUAAAAUCAGGUGUUGGAUAAGCACAUACUAAUGGUAGGAUUAAUUGAACCUAAAAAUGUCAACUCCCUAGACUUUAUUGUAUCAACAUCCAAAAUGACAAUUGCAGACCAAGGAGAAGCCCUAAGGGAAAUAUCAAGCUUUGGAGAAAGGUUGUCGUUGUCAAAAUUACCAUAUAAGAAAGUCACUCUUACAAGGUAUGUUUACCAUAUAAUAAACAUGAUUAUUUAAUACGGUUUGGAAUCUGAAAUGUGAUUGCUUGAAACCAUCACUCCUUAAGAGGUUUUAAUUACUUUACCGAAAACCAAAGAUUCACAUUCAACAGUCCUAAAUCUGUAGAAACCUAAAAAUAAUCUUGACCAAAUUUGCAUAAUCUAGGGUUUUGAAUUCACCUUAUGAGAAUUUUAGAUUCCGUUGAGAAUUUGCACCGACCUCAGACUACCCUUUUGAGUCUCUCUCUUUAUGUUGGGAUGUGAAGAACGUGCCUUGGCUACUAGUGUUUGGGAUUAGGGAUUCGGCGAAAAUGAGGUAAUGUAUUUUGUUAUAUAAUAGUGAUUUAUUAUUUAAAUGCAUGUUGUAUUAUAUGCUAAUUGUGCCGUAAAAGAAAAAGUGAAAAUUCAAUAAUUUAUUAUUAUCAUAUGAAUUGCAUAUAUAAUAUAUUGUUUUAUAUGGUAAUGUUACCAUAUAUAAUGAAGUAUUUUAUAUGUUAAUUUAUUGUUCAUAAUAAAUUGAAUGUUAUUAUAUUAAUAUAUUUUUAAGUUUAUUAAUUUUUUAAGCUUAUUUAAUUCUACUUAUUUUUUUAAUAUUAAAAAUAUUUUAUUUUGCAUAUCAUCCAAUAUUGAGUUGAGAAGUUGAGAUUGUUGUGUCUCGAGACCUUUCAAGUUAAUGACUAAUACCGUGACUUUGAACCAUGGUAGACACAGUUAUGCUGUUAAAAUCAUUAGAGAAGUCGAAUAGAAAGAGAAGUUGCAUUGUACAUAGAGAAAUUAAUUUUUCACAUAGAGAGAUAUCAAUAGAACUUGUGUAUACUGUAGUGAGAAAUGAGAGGAAAAAAUGAUUUUUGAGAUGAGCAUUGUUGGGUGUGAAAUUAGAGAAGCUUGGGAUAGAAACAGAAAUGGUGUGAGAGAAGCAACAUAAGCAUUAAAAAGUAUAUAUAUAUACCAAGUACUUCACCAUGUCUAUAAUGCUACCAUACACACAAUUCUCAAAUUAGUUGCCACUACAUAUCUCAAUGCCAAUUUUUCCACUAAAUUUUACCUCCAUCCAAUUCUUUGCACACAGAUGAAUUUAAGAUGCAACGAUACCAACAUGUUUGGACACAACUUAUGCUAACCUCUACUAAAGUUAUGUGAUUGUAUCCAACUUUUCUUCUAGUGAUAUUCAUUGAUUGAUGCAAUUAGCAAUGUGAUUUCCUUUCAAGUAAAGUGAUGUAAUUUUCUUUCCAUUAAAGCUUAUAUUUACUUGUAUAUAUUUUACCUAAACUGGCGAAUGGAAAUAAGUGAGAUCUUAUUUCCACCUAUCUUCUUAUGGGACCUCUCACUAUCGAGUUAACAGAGUAAUAAAAUCCUUUAUAACCACCUUAAAACUAAAAGCAAUGACACAAUAUCAGAAAAUUAGAUAAAGCUGUAGGACUCAUCCCUUGGAACAAAUAAAACCAAGCCAAAUAGCCUAUACCCUAACUUACAUAUGGAUAGCUUUCAUAAUAAGGGGCACAGGAACUCACUAGAAUACAACAUUCCUCACAAGCAUAGACUGAGUGGAACUUGGGCCAACAUUAUUACCUUAUGGUUUUAUUGAAUUCGUUUAAUUAUUGAACUUUUAUAAGUUUAAAUAUUUUAUUAACCAAUGUGAGAACUUGAACCUUCCACUUCAUUUAUUAGAAUUGACCCUUCUUCAUAUAGAAGAUUUUCCAAUUCUUCAACAUCUAACUCUGCUAGUUGAUCGUCAUCAACUACCCAAAAAUCGGUCUCAUCAAUGCAUGCAUAGUCAAUGGGAUCAUAGAUUCUUUUCUUGUUAUAGAACCUAAAAAAAAAAAGCAUAUAAUUAUUCAUAAUUGUGAAUAGAAGAAUUUAAAUUCAAAACAACUAAGAAAUCAUUUAUACCGAUUUUUUAAGCACAAAUUGUAAUGAACGUAUACAAGAUCAUUAAGCCUUUGAUGUUCCAAUCUAUUCCUUCUUUUGGUAUGUAUACGUUCAAAGACACUCCAAUUCCUCUCACAUCCAGAAGACGAUGCGGUUUGGCUCAAUAUUAGAAUGGCUAACUUUUGCAAAUGUGGUGCACUGUAUCCAUGUAGCCUCCACCAUUCAUCUAGUUACCAUUUCACAUUAAAAAUAAGAAAAAAAUAAAACACAUUAGCAAGUUUAAAAUAUUAAAUAGUAAGUAGGUAACCAAUAAAAAAGAAUAAACAUACUCAUAAAUGAAAAUAAUAUUUUACCAGGUUGAAGUACUUCACAUGAAGAAUAAGCAAGGUCUCUUCCAAAACUUCCCAAUUGAUCACGAAAUAACUUCAUUUCAUUCAUUGUUUCAAGCUUGCCUUUCAGAACUUUCUGAUCAAUAACAUCCAUGACACCUCCAAUAACAUUUGGCUUAUUACAAAAGUUUUCCUGAUCAUAUUGGAAACAUGGAUUCAACCAAUAAGCUGUUGAAUGAAUGCUUUUCUUUAGUUGUUGAUCCCAACGUUGCUUUAUGAUCUCUGUAUAAGGCUUGUAUAGUCUUUCGUUGUAGUUAAACAAUUUCUUAAUGCCCAAACGAACCCUAUACAUGUCUUCAUACACAUAUCCCAUCGAAGGCCUCUCAUCACAAUCAACAAUAUGCAAUAAGCGCAUUAGUGGAGACAUAAGAUUCACAACAAUCAAACAAUCAUUCCAAAAUCUAUUAUCCAAGAUUAUGGAAAUUGCAACUUUGCUUUUAUAAUCCUUUGAAUAUCUAAAGUCCACAAAAAACUUACUAGUCACCAAAGCUUGCAAGUCAUGUUUAUGAUUAUGAGGACUCUUGAGUGCAAUGAAUGUAGUAGCAAAGCGAGUUACACCAGGUCGCAAAAUCUCUAUCCAUCCUUCUCUUUUUCUUAACCAACUUAACAAAGCAACAUGAUUAUAAACAAAAAUUGUCACCUUUGAUGCACGUCUUACAAGUUCAGCAACAUGGUCCAUCUUACCAAUAUCCUUAAAGAUCAAAUUAAGACAAUGAGCUGCACAAAGUGACUAAUUAAUGUGUUUAUGCUUCUGAGAAAUCAAUCUCCCUGUGGCCACAUAAUUUGCUGCAUUAUCAGUGACUAUAUGAACUACAUUGAGUGGACCAACCCAUUCAAUCACCUCAUCAAAUAACUGAAACAAAUUAGUUGCAUCAUUGACAAUGUCCGAAGCAUCAACGGAUUUCACAAACGAUAUUCCUUUAGGAUAAUACACAAGGAAGUUGAUGAGUGUUCUUUGUCUAUUAUUUGUCCAACCAUCACCCAUUAUUGUACACCCAACUUUUGCCCAAAUUGCACGAUAAGAGUCCACAAGUAACUGAACUUCCUUCUUGGCAUCCUUUAAAAGAUUAACUCGUAGCUGAUGGUAAUUUGGACUCUUAUAUCCAGGACCAAUUGCAAAUAUAGCAUCCAACAUUGGCUUGAAGUAGAAGGAAUUCACUACAUUAAUAGGAAUGGAUGUAUCAUAAAAGAAUCUCCCAACCGCCAUAUCCGUUCUCCAAAUAGCUUAUUUCCCAACUAGUACACUUCUCAUGGAAGGUUGAGCUCCUUGAGUAUUUCUUGGUGCAAAAUACUUAUCCACUGUUGAUUUUUUCCUUUUUCCACUAUUAGCUGCCAUAGGACUUUGCAUUUCUUGAACCUCUUCUUCACCUUCUGCCAUAUCCCCUUCAAAUUGUGACAUAUUAGGACCAUAAGGAUUUCUACAUUCAUAUGCUUCUUGGGUUGCUUUCUUAGAAUUCCCAAACUCUUGCAAAGAAUUUUUCCAUUCGAAAUAUUACAUCAGGAGGAACCGAUUUACAUGGACCAAUAUCUCAUUUCACUCCAGCAAGAUGUUGUUUCAUUCUAUAAAUACCCCCACCUUUUGUAAUCUUUUUACAAUACAAACAAAUAAGAGCUUUCCUUCCAUUUGCAUAUCUUUCUUCAGAAACAUGCUCCCAUGCAAGAUCGGUCUUACUUCUAGUUGAUUGAGAAUUGGUAGUUG